rnacentral:lncRNA from 1 species
ACAUGAAGCAUUCUUGCUUGAAUUCCAAGAUGGCUUUGUGUAAUCUUUUCCAUGGAAUUCUCCUUUUAUGCAUGAGCUUCAGCUCGGAAUCUGCUACAGCAGCUACUUUUUCAAAUGUGUCCGAUCGACUUGCUUUACUCGACUUCAGGAGACUGAUAACUCAAGAUCCACACAAAAUCAUGAGUUCAUGGAAUGAUUCAAUCCAUUUCUGCAAUUGGAUUGGUGUUUCAUGCAGUUCAUCUAAUGGAAGAGUUGUAACUUUGAACCUGGAGUCUCAGAGUUUGGUUGGCUCUAUACCGCCUUCUGUAGGAAAUCUUACAUAUCUGACAGGCAUCAACCUGCAAAACAACAGCUUCCAUGGUGAACUUCCUGAAGAGCUGGGUCGUCUAUCGCGCUUACAGCAUAUCAACGUCUCCUUGAAUUCCUUUGGUGGGAGGAUUCCCGCUAACCUCACUUACUGCACAGAACUUACUGUAUUUAGUGUUGCUGUCAACAAGCUUACCGGGGAGAUUCCACACCAGCUUAGUUCAUUGACAAAGUUGGUCUUCUUGCGUUUUGGAGGUAAUCAGUUAACAGGAAGCAUCCCAUCUUGGAUAGGGAACUUUUCUUCUCUCUCUUAUCUGUCACUUCCACUGAAUAAUCUACGAGGAAGCAUACCAAAUGAACUUGGCCAGCUAACUGGAUUGGGUUAUUUUCAAGUUUAUGGCAAUUAUUUGUCUGGUACGAUUCCAACUUCAAUUUUUAAUAUUUCUUCUAUAUACUUCUUCUCUGUUGCUCAAAACCAGCUGCACGGGCAGUUUCCCCCCAAUUUAGGUGUGACUCUUCCUGCCUUGGAAAUAUUUUCUGGGGGUGCUAACUAUUUUACAGGACACAUACCUGUAUCACUGUCAAAUGCUUCUGGACUUCAGAUUCUUGAUUUUUCUAGAAAUGGUCUCACUGGAACUAUUCCGAAAAAUCUAGGAACCUUGAAAAGUUUGGUUAGACUCUAUUUUGAUUUAAACAACCUAGGAAACGGGGAAGUGGAUGGUUUGAAUUUUCUUAGUUCUUUGGCCAACUGCACCAGCCUAGAGGUGUUAGGUCUUUCAGAAAAUAAUUUCGGAGGAGAAUUGCAUAACUCCAUAGGGAACCUUUCAACCCAGUUAAAUAUUUUAACUUUAGGAUCUAAUCUGAUCCAUGGAAACAUCCCUGCUGAGAUUGAGAACCUAGUUAACUUGAGCCUCCUGGGAUUGGAAGGUAACUACCUGACUGGCAAUGUUCCUGAUCUUAUCGGGAAGCUGAAGAAAUUAGAGGGUUUGCAUUUGAAUGUCAAUAGAUUCUCUGGAUCAAUCCCAUCAGCCCUUGGUAACUUGACCAGAUUGACUAGGCUUUUCUUGGAGGAAAACAGAUUCGAAGGAAACAUACCUUCAAGUCUCGGAAACUGCACAAGUCUGCAAAAUCUGUAUCUUUCGGGCAACAAUCUGAACGGAACCAUACCCGAAGAGGUUCUUGGUCUUUCAUCUCUCUCAAUUUCUUUGGUUAUGUCUAAUAAUUCCUUGACUGGUUCCCUAUCAUUAAAAGUAGGUAACCUACACAAUCUCAUGGAGUUGGACAUAUCAGGAAACAAAUUGUCAGGUACAAUUCCUAGUACACUCGGCACUUGUACCAGUUUAGAACGCCUUCAUUUAGAGGGGAACAAGUUUGAAGGGCUGAUUCCAGAAUCUUUGGAAACUUUGAGAGGUUUGGAAGAACUAGAUCUGUCAGAAAAUAAUUUAACUGGGAGGGUCCCUGAAUUUCUCGGAAGGUUUUCAGGUCUCAGGCAUCUGAAUCUUUCUCAUAAUAAUUUAGAAGGGGAAGUGUCAAGAGAUGGUAUAUUUGCAAAUGCAAGUGCCUUCUCAGUAGUUGGGAAUGAUAAGCUCUGUGGAGGUAUCCGAGAAUUGCAUUUACCUCCAUGCUCCAGGAAAAAACCCAGAGAAACUCUUUCCUUCAAGGUAGUAAUACCAGCAACAAUUGCAGCAGUAUUCAUUUCUGUUCUAUUGUGCUCUCUGUCAAUUUUUUGUAUCAGAAGAAAGUUACCAAGGAAUUCCAACACACCUACCCCUGAGGAGCAGCAAGUAGGUGUUUCGUACUCGGAACUCAUAAAAUCAACCAAUGGAUUCGCUGCUGAAAACUUGAUUGGUUCUGGAAGUUUUGGAUCUGUAUACAAAGGAAUUCUUUCUGGUGAGGGAAGAAUUGUUGCGAUUAAGAUUAUGAACCUUCUUCAGAAAGGUGCUUCAAAAAGUUUCAUUGAUGAAUGUAAUGCUUUAAGAAGCAUAAGGCAUCGUAAUCUCCUGAAGAUCAUCACUGUUUGCUCGACCGUUGAUCAUCGAGGUAAUGAUUUCAAAGGUCUUGUUUUUGAGUUCAUGUCUAAUGGCAAUCUAGACCAGUGGCUACAUCCAACAACUGAACAGCAAUAUCGAACCAAGAAAUUGAGCUUUACUCAAAGACUGAAUAUUGCCGUUGAUGUUGCUUCUGCAUUGGAUUAUCUCCACAACCAUUGUGAAACCACAAUUGUUCAUUGUGAUUUAAAGCCAAGCAACGUGCUCCUUGAUGACGAUAUGACUGUUGAAUAAACUCAAUCUAGAAGCACCUAGAUGGUCAAGAAAGGCAACCACCCACCAGCCGCAGCCGCCAGCCGCCUUCACACCGCCGGUCAACAGCCGCCUUCACACCUGGAACAGUAGAUUUUCGUAUUCUGAUUUUGUCUAUAAAUAGAGUGCCCAGCUUGUGUUUAUUUAUGUGGAGAGAAUUGUGAGAAACACUUGAAAGAGAAAGAGAGAGAGAGGGCGUGUUUAAGCUUUUGUUUUGUGUUAAUUGUAAGCUUCGGAUUUUGUAAUAAAACCAGUGUGUUUUAUCCCCUCUGAGUGUUUCAAAGCCACCACCAGUGGUUCCUCCCACCAACAAUUGGUAUCAGAGCCCCGUUCGUCGGAAAACAGAAGAGUUUUGGGGUAUAUCCGAAUUUUCAAAAUUGUCAAAAACAAGUUUUGAUCAUUCCACAGUGUAGAGCUCAUCAAGACGAACUCACUGCCGCAAAAAUCAGCCUCAUCGGAGUUCGGGGUAGCCCACACGCGCCGUCUGAAUAUUCAGCCAGAUCGCCCACGCGCAUCCCACGCGCCCCGAGGUUGAAGACGACUGAGACACACGCGCGCCAUAUAUUGAGCCGCGCCGAGCCGUAUACGCCGAGUCCUAGCCGAGCCACAAGCUGAGCCGUACCCCCCGAGCCGAGCCGAGCCGCGUUCCAGCCUAAGCCGAGCCGAAGGAAUAUUCCCCAGAAUAUUCCCCGAAUAUUCCACAGAAUAUUCCCCGAAUAUUCCACAGAAUAUUCCCCGAAUAUUCCACAGAAUAUUCCCGGUUCAACCCAGCGAACCGCCCGCCGUACAGAAUUGGUUUUUUGACCGGUUCACCCAUUUUCGGACCCGAUUUCAACAAAGUCAGACCGGUUCCCGACUAUUUGGACCAUUCCGGAUCGAUCUACAGUGUCCGUUUGGUCAAAUUCGGCUCCCAGAAGGCGAUAUAGUCAUUAAAAGAGCAAAAUGACUACAGAAGGUACACAUACACUCAUCCCGAAGCUGACCAAAGACAACUAUGAUAGUUGGUGCAUCAGAUUGAAGGCAUUUCUUGGGUCACAAGAGUGUUUUGAUAUUGUACAAACUGGUUAUGAUGAACCAGAGUCCAAAGAAAGAGAAGAUGCUUUACAAGAGGCACAGAAGCAAGUCAAAGUCAACAGAAAGAAGGACAACAAAGCAAAGACCAUCAUCUAUCAAGGUCUUGAUGAAGAUACAUUCGAGAUAAUAGCUUCCGCUGAAACGUCACAUGAUAUAUGGGAGGCUCUCCAACAGAAAUACAAAGGUGCUGACAGAAUCAAGAAGAUUCGUCUUCAAUCUUUGAGAGGAGAAUUCGAAUUAUUACGAAUGAAGUCCUCAGAAUCUAUUUCUGAUUAUCAUACAAGGAUUAUGGUGAUAGUCAAUCAGAUGAGAGAAAUGGAGAAGCCCUCAUCGAUACUCGAAUUAUUGAGAAAAUUUUGAGAUCCAUAGAUCCAAAAUUUGAUCAUGUUGUUGUCGCAAUUGAAGAGUCCAAGGAAGUGGACAAGUUGACAGUGGAUGAGCUUAUGAGUUCUUUGCAAGCUCAUGAGCAGAAGAUUGUAAUGCGAAAUGAAGAUAAGGCCAUUGAGCAUGCCUUACAAGCAAAGCUGUCUUUCAAGGACAGAUAUGAGCAAGGGGAGACUUCAUCAAGUGGCUACACCACUCAAGGAGGAAGUCAACAAUCCAGAGGAGGAUUCCAGAAUUCCAAGGAAGAGGUUCUUGGAAUACAAGCUUUAGAGGAAGAGGUGGCAGAAACACCACCAGAGGAGGCCGAGGCAACAAGCAUUCACUCCUAGAGGAAGAGGAGGCGGUUACAAUAACCGUGACAAGAGAAAUAUCAAAUGUUAUAGCUGCAAUCAAUUUGGGCACUAUAGCACUGAAUGCCGAUGGAAAGCUCCGUUGGAGACACGUGAGCAAGCCAACUAUGUAGAGAAGCAUGAUGGAGAAGCAUCUGCAUUUCUUGUCCAACAAGGAAUGGCGAGAAACAAGAAAUAUAUGGUAUCUAGAUACUGGAGCCAGCAAUCACAUGUGCGGCUACCGAGAGUUAUUUGGUGAUCUAGAUGAGACCAAGCAAGGUCUAGUUACUUUUGGAGAUACCACAAAGGUUCCAUUCAAAGGUAAAGGCAACAUCCCAGUCAAGUUGAAGAAUGGCGAUUCCAGCUACAUCGCCGAUGUGUAUUAUGUCCCAGCCAUAAAGCAGAACCUGAUCAGCUUAGGCCAACUUUUGGAGAGAGGAUAUAGUUUUUACUCGAAGAAUUGUCAUCUGACAAUUAGAGACAACAAUGGGAGAUUAAUGGCCUACGUGAAAAUGUCCAAGAAUAGGAUGUUUCCUUUGAACAUCCAGUAUGAUGCAACAAGGUGUUUGAGUGCCAUCACCAACAGUGAAGAAUGGCUUUGGCACCUAAGGCUUGGACAUCUGAAUUUCACGAGUAUGAAGAUGCUAGCAAGCAAGAAGAUGGUCAAAGGUUUGCCUCACAUUGAUCAUCCAGAUGAAGUCUGUGAGAGUUGUGUCCUCAGCAAACAACACAGAUCCAGUUUUGCCAAAGAAGUCAACUGGAGAGCAAAGAGGCCACUGGAGUUAGUACACACAGAUGUGUGUGGCCCAAUUACGCCUAUGUCGACUGGACAAAAUAGGUACUUCCUCACUUUUACUGAUGAUUUUAGUAGAAAGACGUGGAUAUACUUUCUGAAGAGGAAGUCAGAAGUAUUCAAUUGUUUUAAAGAUUUUAAAGCAAUUGUGGAGAAGCAAACUGGUUAUACGAUCAGAACAGUGAGAUCUGAUCAAGGUGGAGAAUAUACAGCCAACGACUUUGAAGCCUAUUGUACACAACAAGGCAUCAGACAUCAGACGACGCCAGCUUAUACACCACAGCUGAACGGUGUAGCAGAAAGGAAGAAUCGCACGAUUCUUGACAUGGCUAGAAGUUUGCUCAAAGCAAAGAAGCUGCCCAAGCAAUACUGGGCUGAAGCUGUAUCAUGUGCAGUGUAUCUACUGAAUCGCUGCCCAACCAGAAGUUUGCAAGGAGUCACUCCAGAAGAAGCAUGGAGUGGUCACAAACCAAGUGUUACUCAUCUACGAGUCUUUGGUUGUGUGGCAUAUGCAAAGAUCCCAGAUGCAAGAAGGAGAAAGCUCGAUGAUAAGAGCGAGAAAUGCAUCUUUGUCGGAUAUGGUGAAAGAAGGAUGGGAUACAGGCUGUAUAAUCCCAUCACGAAGAAGGUGAUUACGAGUAGAGAUGUUAUCUUUGAAGAAGAUAAAUCUUGGGCAUGGAAUGGUGAUCAAGAAGCAAUCAAAUGGAUCAAUCUUGAUUUGAUCCUUGAAGGUGAAGAAGUACCAACAGUACUUGUCGAAGAACCAAUUGUGCCAGCAGCUGAACCACAAAGUCCGGUGUUUAUACCAGCAGCUGAACCACAAAGUCCGGUGCACAGAGCGCCCCUGUAUUCAACAGGAGGAACACACCAGGAGCAUCAUCAUCAACACCACCAUCAGCAUCCUCGUCAGAAGGACCAAGAAAGAUGCGGAAUCUUGAAGAGUUGUAUGAUACCACUCAGGUCAUGGAAGAUACAACUCUGUUUUGUUUUCAUGCAGAUAAGGACCCACCAGAAAAGAAGAAAGCAAUAGGUGUCAAAAGGGUCUACAAGCAGAGAGAGAAGGCAUUGAAAGGAGAAGUGUUCAUGCUUGGCAUGACAUCCCUCGAUUGAGUUUAAAGGGGAGAUUUGUUGAAUAAACUCAAUCUAGAAGCACCUAGAUGGUCAAGGAAGGCAACCACCCACCAGCCGCAGCCGCCAGCCGCCUUCACACCGCCGGUCAACAGCCGCCUUCACACCUGGAACAGUAGAUUUUCGUAUUCUGAUUUUGUCUAUAAAUAGAGUGCUCAGCUUGUGUUUAUUUAUGUGGAGAGAAUUGUGAGAAACACUUGAAAGAGAAUAGAGAGAGAGAGGGCGUGUAUUAAGCUUUUGUUUUGUGUAAUUGUAAGCUUCGGAUUUUGUAAUAAAACCAGUGUGUUUUAUCCCCUCUGAGUGUUUCAAAGCCACCACCAGUGGUUCCUCCCACCAACAAUGACAGCCCACGUUGGUGACUUUGGAUUAGCUAAAUUCCUCUCUGAAGCAUCCAAGAAUCCCUCCAUAACUCAAACAAUUUCUGCAGCUUUAAAGGGUUCAAUUGGCUACAUCCCUCCAGGUAUGGGUCUUCACCUGACGAAUCAUCUUGAACUCAUGAUUGCUAAUUUUAUCCCUAAAUCGCAACUACUUUUGCACAACUCUCUGCUGAAAAGUUUUGUAUCCUUUAAAAAACUUGCUAAAAUCUAUGAAACAUUCUUUUGUACAUUGCAGUUCAUCUGCUUUGUUUAUCUUAGUGUCUAAAUUAGAAUUGCAUAGAAAUCUCUCUAAAUGAUAGUAUACUGCCACUUGCAGAGUAUGGGAUGAGAGGCGAAGUUUCUGUACUUGGAGAUGUUUACAGCUAUGGAAUACUACUGCUAGAGAUGUUCACAGCAAAAAGACCUACCGAUGACAUGUUCGAAGGUGAUCUAAAUAUUCACAAGUUUGCUGAUAUGGCUUUCCCUAGCAAUGUCAUGGCUAUCGUUGACCCAUCGAUGCUAGCUGAAGAAGAGAUUUAUGAGAAUGAGAUAAAUGAACAUGGCAUAGAAGAAAGAGCAACAAUCCACAAUAAUGAUUUUCAAGUCAACAAGACAAGCAACAUUGAGGAAGGCCUGGUGUCUCUUAUGGAAAUCGGGCUCUCAUGCUCCAACAAAUCACCUGGGAAACGGAUGGCGAUGAACAUAGUUGUGAAUAAAUUGCAAGUAAUCAGAGAUUCAUUCUUUAGAUCUAUUAACAGGUUAGGUAAGAAUGUUGCUGUAGAUUUUAAAUGAACAUAGUGUGAACUCGUAGCGUAGGCUGGACUGUCAGCUUAGUUAUUACGAGGUAAAAAACUCUCAUGUUGUCAUUAUAUUUCUGCCACUAUGUGAUAUUGCUAUGUGCCUGACUAUGAUUGGCGUGAUCUAAGGUUCAUUGAGUAGCCCACUUUAGAUUUCCUCAAUAUGAUAAUAAUGAUCCAUCUACUUGCUAUUAUUAAUGGUGUUGUUACUCAAUAUAAAAAAUCAAGAAAAAAAUAGAAAAAAAAUCCAAAAUAUAAAAGGAUAUACAUGAAAAAAACUUAGAAGAUUAUCCAAGUUGGUGGUGAAGAACUAAAAUGAUAUGUGGAAAAUUUACAGAAUCAUAAUGUAUACAAUUAGCAAAAUUAACAACCCAAUUCUAAUUGACAAAAGACCCCAUUAAUUGACAAAGGGCCCUAUUAAUGAAAAUAUUUUUAUUUUGGGUAAAGAAAUACAAUUUGGAUAAGUAAGGAUUCAAUGAGAAUUUUGAAUGGCUUAAUUAAUCUUAUUGAGGACUUGAUUACAAGAAAAAUCAAUUUUUAGAGUCAAUUUGUGUUAAUUGGAAUAAAUUAAAGUCUAAGGACUUGAUUGGUUUUUUGAGAGGUUUAAUUGGAUGAAUCAAGGGCAUAAUUGUAAUAAUAUUGAAGUUUGAUGGGCAAUUAAGAACUUGAUUAAAGAAAUCUAAAAUCAAGGACUAAAUUAAAAAAGACGCGAGACUGUAUUGGCUGAAAUUGACCAAAUUAGAAGCCGAAUUGAAUAAAAUUGAUAGUUUGAUACAAUCAAGGGUCUAAUUGCAAAAAUCAAAAACCAUGGACCAAAAUGAAAAUGGCGAUGAACUUUGGGGAUGAUGAUUGAGUUUGAUAGGAGUGAAAUUACAUGAUAUUUAAAGCUUGGGAGGCAAUUACGAGUGCAAUUAAAUGCAAUUGGAAGAACAUAGACUAAAAUGAAAAAUUUUUAAAUCCCAAAUUAAAAACUCUAAUUUAUAAGAUUUAACCUAAAUGAUGUGUUGUUCGGCCACUGUUUAGCUUCUUCUUUGUCAGUUUUGGUUGAUCAAGUGGACACCUCCAGACGAAUGAGUGUGGUAUCUUUGACCACCUUUGUGGUUGUAAUCACUACCAUUCAACUAAGAAACACCAUAUUUACAAAGAUCAAUUACUCUCAUCAAAUGUUUACAUUCCAUUUUCUUCAAUGAACUCAACAACAUCUUAUCCCUGAUCAACCAUCGCUGCAUUUUAAGAUUCUCGGCUAAACGAAUUGGCAUCUUUAAACGAAUAAAUGUGAAACCAAAGACCUCCAAAUUGAGCAAAAAUGAAUCCAAUCUAAAGGUAUGCUUCUCUUCUACCAAGUUUAGGUGGUCUCCGAUGAUAUUUACAUCAAAUUUGCUCCAACUACGUCUCGAAUUUGCUACAGACCUCCAAAUUUAGGUACUUAUUUGUGCAAAACAACUCAAUUUUUUCUUGUAUUCACACUUAAAAAUUUCCAAAGGGUUCUUAUCGAGGGUCAUAAAUCUUUCAUCCAGAAUCAGAAGGUGAGGGAUGCAUACCUUUGUCUCAAAGCAAAAGAAAACCAUCUAGGCAAAUUUGUUACAAAAUCUAUAUCCCGAAACCAUUGAAAGACAUAGGUUCUAGCUAUUAACAUUUGUCCAAAACUCUUUUAUUUUGAUCAGAUGGUUAAGCUUUGAUCAAUUUAUGUUUGAAUCCAUCAAUAAUCCUAGUGAAACCCUAUAAAUACUCCCUGGAAAAUAAAGAAAUAAGAGAGAGAGGAAAAACAUGGAGAAACAUACUAUGAAAAGAUUCUUGUGUGAAGGUUUGAAAGCUUAAUAUAGAAGGUUUAACAAGCUUUUGAAGGAAAAGAUAGUUAAAGAGAAAUAAGGAAAUAAAAGAGAAGGAAAACAAUAAUCCAUAGCCAACAAGCUCAAAGAAGAUAUAACCAUGUUAAAGUUCAAGGGUGGAGUCUCUGUAACUUGUCUAUUCAUGAUUUCUUAUUGUUUAAACCUCUUUUGAUGUUGUUUGAGCUUAUCUUGCAUUUUUGGCUUGAUUUUGAUGUUGCAAUAAUCUGAAGGUUUUUGGCAGGGGUUUUUUGUUUUUGUUAUUAUUUUAAACAUGUUUUAGAUUGCACAAGCUUUCGUUAUAAUAGUUUUGUUUUUGGUUGUUUCUUUUUAAGCUUACACUAAAGGCAUGAUUUUGUGUUUUGAUGUUUGUUUGAUUCUGUGUUUUUAGCCCAAUAGCAUGUUGAUGAUGUAUUUAAGGUAUUUUGAUUGGUGUUUAAAUCUGUUUUGUAAUAAAACAGUAAGUUGUUUUUGUUUGUGGGUUAAAGAUUUUUGAAGCAUUUUGAUCAAUUUGAUGUAUUUUAGUGCAAGUUCACGGUUCAUACAAGUAUGUUUUGGUAUAUAGAUGUUACAAAUAUCAAGUUUUGAAUCCAAAUAGUAUGAAUAUAUUUGUUAUUUAGCUUUGAUAGUUUUGAACUUUAGAACUUCAUGCAUGUUAUUGAAGUUUUGAUGUUAUUUAUUAGUUCUUUGAAUUCAACUAUGCUUAUUAUUAGUAAUAUGGUUUGUCAGGACCAAAAGCAACAUAUUUUAGAAGCCUAAGAGGCUGGGAAUUUCUAGGUUGCUGGGUUCGAUUUCUUCAUAUUUUUUGAAAGAACAUUGUCUUAGCUCUAUGAUUUGAACCAAUUUUGGUCCAAUUCUUUGAAUUAAAUCAUUCAAGUAACUUGACUAGAAGAUAAUGUGGGGUUUAUUUGCAUCAAUAACAAGUUUCUGAUGAUUUUAAUCAUAGAGUUUUGGUUUUGAACCAAAACUCAUUUUGACAAAAUCAUGUUGGUUCUUUGAUAACUGAAGUGAAUGAAUGCUAAAUUAUGUAUCCUUGCAUGAUUUUGAAUAAAACUAUGUCCUUGAUUGCAUGAAAACUUGUCUAGAUAAAGAUUUGUGUUUGCUGGGUUCUUGAUGAAUGUUCUUCGUAUUCUUCACGAUUUGAGUAUUAGAUCCGUUUUUUUGUGGAAAAAAAUUGUGUUAAUUUUCAACUUUAAUUUUGUUUCAAUUUAAACAUUUGUUUUGGUUUAGUUUUUGGGUCAAACCUUGGUUUUUGGUUCUGUUCAUGGUUGAACCAGUGUCUUUUGGUCGAUCUAUUUGGUUAUGUUUUGGGUCAAGUACUUAAACAUUUAUUUGUUUGGACAACUUUUUGUUAAAGAUUUUUAUGGCCAAAGAUGGGGUUUAACAAACACACCCUUAAAUCUAUUUUGGUAGUUUUCUAAGGAAAAAAAAAUGGUUUUACCAAACAUGACCUUACAGAAAUUAAAAAUAAUAAUAAUAAUUUUGUUUGUUACAUAUGGCCCAAUCCUUACGGAAAAAAAUGCAUUUUAUUUAGAAAAAGGAGUGAAUAAUGUUUUUAGCAUUAUUUUAGAAAUUUUUUGUGUAUUUGUUUUGUAUUUGUUAUUGGAAUUUACAAUAAUUUUGUAAAAUUCCUUAAGUAUUUGACCAAUAUUUUAACUAUUCCCUAGCCUUUAUUUUUUUAUAGAUGGACACUUAUAUUCAUUGGUUUUUUCAUAAUGCUAUUGUGACCUUUAAAAAAUAUAUUGAGUUUUCUCAACAUAGUGAUACUGAGACAAUAUUAAUCCAUCGGAUAUCCUAAAAAAAAAAAUUAUUCUUAGUAUGACAUUUGCAAUAUCUAAUUUUUUCUUGUCAAACUUAUUUGUUAACAUUUUAUUGGUAGACUUUAUCAUGCAGUCAUUACUACUCAAAAUAAACAUAUCAUCUAUAAAGAGACACACAAUGAUAUAAUAUUUAUUUGUAUUUUUCACAUUAACAAAUUUAUUAACUUUGUUGAUUUUGAACUCAUUUGAUAACAUAACCUUAUCCAACUUUUCAUGCUAUUAUUUAGAUGCUUGUUUUAAACCAUAAAGUUUUAGGGUUCUUUUUGCUUUAACCUGAAUUUAGUCUAUCUUCUGUCUUUUUGUGUCUGUUGUUGUUUAAUUAUGCUUUUGCCUGUAUUAAUUGGUAUCAAAGUCCAACGAUCCCAAGUUUAUAUUGCUUGUUGUGUAUUGCAAUUUCAUUGAUAAUUGUUUAUAGCUACCACCCAUGGUAAAAAGAGGUCGUGAAGCAAGGUGUGGUCCUAUGACCACAAAAGUUUUGAAAAUAUCAUCGGCAUUCUUACAAGGCCUUUGUAAAUUUUGAUUGCCCAAAAAUUUUAACCUCAGAUAUAAUGAUAUGUAAGGAGACUCAUCUUUAAAGCUCCUGGUGAAUUACACCUGCCAGACACAAAAAGAAAAUUAGACAAGUUUUGAUCCUGCAUGUGAGACCUAUGGGUCCCAAGUUACACAUGUGAGAUUUAUGUGUCUCAAUAAAUUAUGUUAUUUUUAUAAAUAAGUUUCUACUUCUGUUAUUUUAUAUAAAAAAAUAUAUAUCACUGUGCUAUUUUUCAAAACAAAUACUCUUUGCAAGUUGUUGUUCUUUAUAGCAAGGUUGUCAAUUCUGUUUGGUUCAUAUUUUGUUUUUUCAAUUGAAAAGAUAUGUUUCCGUUUCGAAGUGUUUCAACAUGUUAUUUCAAGAUUGUAUUGUUCAUAUCUUAUUUGAAUUAUUAUUAUAUAUAUAAAUCAAAAUAUUGGUUCGAUAAAUAUAAUUUCAAUUCAAAUUUAAAGAUAAAGUAACUUGAAAUUAUGCAAUUUAAAUUUCAAACACAAGUAAAAAGAGGGAGGUGAACCGAUAUGACCUAAUCAACUUGAAUGGUCCAAAAAACAACUUGGAUGACUGGUAAAAAUAUAGUUUGAUUAAAGAACAAUUCAAGACAACAACUUUUUUAAAUAAAUAAAAAAUUAAGACAACAACAAAUUGAAUCAACCUAUGUCAACCUUUCAAAUUUGUGACCCGCGUCAUAAGACUUUAAUAACCCCAAUUAAAGCAAAUCAAAAUAAAUUAUGAAGCUAAAUUACCAAUAAACUUGUUGUUAAAUGAUAAAAUUAAUCUAAAAAAACAACUCAAUGAAAUGGCCUUUCUUAACAAACUUAUAAAUUUUAACAAAGUUAUGAAAAUACCAUCGGGCAUUCUUAUAAGGCCUUUGUAAAUUUUGAUUGCUCAAAAAUUUUAACCUUAAAUAUAAUGAUAUGUAAGGAGACUCAUCUUAAAAUUUAAGUAUGAUACAAUGAUCAAAUUAAGAGAUAUAAUUGAUACUAUAAAAAUGGAUAAUAUUCUUUUUCAAAAAUAUAAUGAAAAAAACCUAUUUGAUCAGAUGCCGAAAUGAAAAGAAAACGUCCCAUUCCAUUGUGGGUUUUUUAAGUUAAACUACGAGGCCAGGUAGGUUUAGUAACUAUUUGACGAACCGGUCUGUACCUCGACCAUAUUUGGCAAGCAUGCACACCCCGGCACAACCAUGCAAGAAACCACCAAAAACUUCAUGUUUCUACACAAAUUUCCCUUUCAUCUUUGACUAUUAUAUAUCUGGAUUGGAUAUGAAUCCAAUAAAGAGGUGUUUUUGGUCAUGUUUCUAGAAAGAUUAGCAGAAAAACACCUUAAACUGUAAGAUAGAGCUGGCUAAUGUUCUGUAUUCUCCACUUUCCGUGUAAGAAGCCUCACAUUUUUCUCCUGAAAGACACAAAUAUCGGUACUUUGCGGGCAGAAAAAUAGUAUAAAUACACGGCUACUUCCCUUGGUUUUUCAUUAACAAAUUAAGGACACGUACGUAGUAAAUCUCUUGAGUUAAUUAUGGCUACCAGCAACGUUGUUUGUGCUUUAGUUCUUUCCUCCCUGUUCCAUUUUCUUCUGGUUCCUGUAUUAAGUCGUGACGUGCAUGUUCUUAAAAAAUGUGGGUUUAAAGCAAUUUAUCAGCUUGGGGAUUCUAUAGCUGACACUGGCAAUUUGAUUCGCGAAAAUCCUCUUUCUCCAUAUGCUUCAUUUCCUUAUGGUUUGAAACUCUCGAAGCCAACAGGUAGAUGCUCCAAUGGGUUGUUGAUGAUUGAUUACAUUGGUAAGUUACGAUAUUCUUGAUUUACUGUUUCUCUAAGCGGUAAUGCUGCCGCGUUUCAAACUGUGUUUGACCUGAAAAGGCAUCAUUUUUUAUGAUUUUUAUGCCUUGAUCUACAUAAUAAUGCUAAACAUCAAGAAAAUCCGACACAUCGUUGACGGGGCCUGUAGAUUUUUAUCUGUCAGAUUUUCUCUAUGUUUAGCAUUGCUCUCCGUGUCAUUCAGCUUGUGUUUGUUUAAUUUUCUUGCUUCUAUUCCCUUUCUCUCGUUUUCUUUUCUGAAACUUUCUUCUUCUUCAGCAACAACCAAGCCGCCUUAAUCCGAAAACUUUCUUGUUAAAAAAUAUUACAGUGUCUAUCAGAAUUAUUCAAGUUAAAGGCUGUCCAUUUUCGUAUAUUAUUAUGGUAAAUUACAUAAUCUAAGGAAAUUCAGGUUCUAAUUAACUCUCUUUCUAACCUCAUUUACAGUAGAAGUUGCUUGAUUUGUUGACUUUUCUUUGAACAAUUGCAGCACGCUCGGCUAAACUUCCCUAUCCUGGUGCCUACUUGAAUUCAGCAAGAAAAUUUUCCGGUGGCCGCGGUGGAGUGAAUUUUGCGGUUGCUGGUUCAACCGCCUUGCCUGCAGAAGUUUUAUCGUCAAAGAAUAUAGUGAACAUUGUGACAAAUGAAUCUCUUAGCACACAACUUGAGUGGAUGUUCUCCUAUUUUAACACAACAUGUUCUGAAGGUAAUCGGCAUGUUUCAUAUGAUGUUUCAAUAGUUAAAUCCUUUUCCAACCAUCAUGCCUGACAGUUAUUGCUUCACAGAUUGUGCUAAAGAAAUUAAAUCAUCUCUCUUCAUGGUUGGGGAGAUUGGAGGCAAUGACUAUAACUAUGCUUUCUUGUUUAACAAAACCGCUGAAGAACUAAAUGCGUUGGUUCCUGAAGUUGUUGGAGCUAUAAAGGAUGCUGUUGCGGUAUGUUAGUUGUCGGUUUGUUCCUUCUGAAUUUCUAGCUAUGUUGUUUUUGUUUAUGAAUGUUCUUCGAUGUGAUUUUGCAGAAAGCCAUUGGUCACGGUGCUAGACGAGUGGUUGUCCCCGGAAACUUCCCGAUAGGUUGCUUCCCGCUUUAUCUUAGCCAAUCCCAGUCCAAUGAUGCUGCUGCUUAUGAUGAGUUCCACUGCCUCAAGGGGUUAAACUCUUUCGCAAGUUAUCACAAUGAGCUUCUCAAGCAAACCGUUGAGGGAUUGAAAAGAAAUUACCCUGGUGUGAUCAUAGUUUACGGUGACUAUUACAAAGCAUUCAUGUCGAUCUAUCAGAACGCUCAGUCUCUUGGUGAGUUUGUUUUCAAGAUCCUUGUGAAUGGUAGAGAAACUAUACGGGGCCCAGCACAAAAUUAAUGCUUACAGCAUCGUCUCCUUCUUUUUCUAAACAGGUUUUGAUACGAAGUCGCUGCAAAAAGCUUGCUGCGGGACUGGUGGUGAUCAUAAUUUUAGCCUUUGGAGAAUGUGUGGAGCUCCUGACGUUCCGGUUUGUCCAAACCCUGAUCAGCAUAUCAGCUGGGAUGGAGUUCAUUUGACACAAAAGGCUUAUCAACACAUGGCAGAAUGGCUUAUCAACGAUAUCUUUCCAAAGCUUCAAUGCAGUGCUUGAUGUGAAAGUUCUGUUCUCACCAAGACAUGGACUUGAUAACAUGAAGCUCUUAAUUUUGUCUACAAUUAAGCUUGUAAAAAUAUUGUUGUCUUUGAAUGAAAGAGGGACCCCGCAAGGUUGUUUGUGACUCUAAUUAUUCAUUUUUCAAAUGCCAAAUUUAUUUCACUUCAAACCCCCCACAGAGAAGGAUCGUGAAGAACGAAAAAACAUCCACACCACAUCAUAUGAUAUAUUAAGCAUUUCAUAUGUUAAUCAACAAGAAAAAAAUAGGAAGAUCCAAGGUUAGAGAACAAGCAAGAAGAUCCAAUGAUUAAGUUGGCAAUCAGAUCCAAUGGUCAAGAGAAAAGGGGGAGAUCUAACGGUAAGCAAAAAAGAAGAAGAAGAAGAAGUGGGUUGGCACAUAACUGAAGCAUGUGCCAUCGGCUUUGAUUUAGGAGAAGAACAAUAUCUAAGAGCUCAUUAUAGAGGAUAUGUAGAGUUAUAUCACAAAAUUGACUCGUAGGUUAGAAGAGAAAUAACUACGGGAUUAAAACCAAAUGCAUGAUCAGAUGAGACAACCUCUUGAUUGGAAAAAAAUCAGAUCUAGAGAUUUUGACUUUCACAUUAAAAUCCCUGAAUUUAUAGGAACUUUAUAAAUGGAGGAGGUCAUAGAUUGAAUUGUUGAGGUGGAACGAAUUAAGUAAAAAAAAGGUUCUUGAACAAAUACAAGUAAAGCUAAUUUUGAUUAAAUUAAAGGGUAGGGUUUCUGUCUUAUCAUAAACCAAUUUUAAGGAUUAAAGUGUAGGGAUUAUACCUUAUCAUAAAUCAAUUUUAAGGAUUAAAGGGUAGGGAUUUUGCCUUAUCAUAACCCAAUUUAGACCCCUCCUAAAAUUUCUCAUCUUCAUAUAAUAAAUAUUUUUCUUUAAAAAAUUUAAAAAUUUAAAAAAUAUUUUGGAUCACAAAUAGGCAAGCAUUUAAUCCACAACUAGUUUGAAUAUCAUUAGGAUGGAAAAUUUGGAAGUCUUGUAGAGGAAAAGGCUGAAAAUGGAUUAAAUUGGUUAGAAUUGGUUAGAGUUGAACAAAUUAGAAGUUAGAGGACUAAAAGUGACAAAAUGGUAAAGUUUGGGAGUCCAUUUAUACCAAUGGAGAGCUUAAUUGAAGAAAAUAUUGAAGAUCAAGGGUCCAAUUGAAAAUGUCAGGGGUGAAACUGAAAAGGUUCUUAAGAUUGGGAUUCAAAUCAGGACUUGAUUGAAAACUUCUACAAGAUAUGGUCUAAAAUUGAAAAGGGGCCAAGGGACCAAAUUGAAAAAACUAAUUUUUUCAAAAUGCAAAAAUGGCCCCGUCCAAUUUACAGUUCAUUACCUCUUUCGUUCUUCCUAGCCAUGCCACAACAGAACCAGAGUGAGUAUAGGUCUCUCGGCUGCAUUAUCCUCCACACAUCUCACCAAACAGGGCAACAAACAUGUCUACCUUACAGCCUUGCAUUCGUACUCCAGCCUCCAGCCAUAAAAUACAAACUUUGCAGACCCUUAAAUGCUGCCAAAGCAUGCUGCCCAUCCAGCCUCUUUGACAGGUACACCAUAGUACCAAUAUAGCUGGAGUUUAAUGGAGGGCAGGGAUCGACUCAAGGAUGGAACGGAUACAAUGAGGUUACAAAGGCAUGGCAUAGAAGGUUCUUAAGGCUCUAUAUAAGGGUGCCCAAGCUCUGAUGAAAAGGGGGGGGAGUUUUUGAGGGUUUAGAUGAAAAACAGAAACGAAAGAGAUAGAACAAAAAAGAGAGAAAGUUAGAGCAACGCUAGAAAAAAGCUUGGAGAGGAAAUCCCAUUGGAAAUACAAUGAGAGAGAUGAGAAGAUAGAAGAGAGAAGAAUGGAUAGAAGAGGUUACUUUGGUGGUAGCUCAGCAGUACUGCAACCUCACCUCCAAAGCAUUCUAAAAUUUUAGAAAGAAGAGAAGAGGAACCAUCAACUUAUACACUUGAGUGGCAGUAGCAACAACGCAGCAGUAGCUGACCAUUGGAAAGGGUGCAACUUUUCUUCUUUUGUAUUGAUGAAGCCUUGGUCAUGUUAUUUCCCUAGAUGAUGAAAGUGUAGGACUGUCAUGGUGGUGUCUACACUCAAAAUCUUCUAGUUUUGGUUUAAAAAAACGAAAAGAAAACCAAGCUUAGAUGCCCAGGUUCAUUCCAUGUCUUAAGUAUUUAUGUUGGGGUUUUGACCUCUUUUCUUCUUCGAUUUAUUAGUAGCUGUAGGAGAGUUAACGAGCUGACCUCUCGGUGAAUCCAAGAUCUAACCUGUUCCCUGCCUGUUUUUGUGUUCUUUUAAAAGAAAAGAAAAAUCCAAAAAAUGUAUUUUGUAUAUUUUAUCAUUUUUUUGUCAUUUCACAAAAAAAAAAAAAACAUUUUACAGCUUAGGGUUUUAUAACUGGGCUGACACAUGAAAAACAUAAAAAACAAAAUUCACUAAUUUUUUGUUUUGACAAAAUCUCCUACAAAUAAGGAUUAACAUCAUGAUUCUAUAUAAAAAGAAUCCAAUGAGAUUUUCUAUUGAUAGGAAUUAAUAUUAAUUAUUUUGUUAGAUUUCUAAAACUUUACGAAAUCUCCUCUUUAUAGGAAUUACAAUAAAUAUUUUUCAUCAAAAAUUAAAACUUGAUGAAAUUUUCUAUUCAUAGAGAUUAAUGCCAAAAAUUUCUUUAAAACUUAAUGAAAUCUCCUAUUUAUAGAAAUUAAUAUAAAAAUGAAUUUUAAAGAAAUCCAAAAUUGACAAAAUGUCUAAUUUUAAGGAUUAACAUCAUUUUCAACUAGUCUUUUAUUUUUAUAGAUCAACGUUAGGUUUCAAAAUUGCGAAUAAGCUCAAAAGUAGAAUAAUUCAUGAAAAACACAAACAAUAGAUAUUUCAUUGAAAGGAUGCGAUAAGAUUAAAACUUAAUGAAAUCUCCUCUUCAUUUGGGUUACCAUUAAUAUUUUUCAUCAAAAAUUAAAAUUUGAUGAAAUUUUCUAUUCGUAGAGAUUAAUGUCAGAAUUUCUUUCAAACUUAAUGAAAUCUCCUUUUCAUAAGGAUUAAUAUAAAAAUGAAUUUUAAAGAAAUUCAAAAUUGACAAAAUCUCUAAUUUUAAGGAUUAAUGUUAUUUUCAACGAGUCUCUUAUUUUUAUAGAUCAAUGUUAGGUUGCAAAAUUGAGAAUAAACUCAAAUUUAGAAUAAUUUAGGAAAAACACAAACAACAACAAUCUUUCAUUGAAAGGAUGCGAUAAGGGUAAUGUCCACCUUCUCUUAUGCAUAACUAAUCUAAUACAUGGAUCUUUGAACAAGCCAAUGUAUAUUUAGGAUCUCUAGGUUCUUUAAUUACAACGUAGCAACUCUAAAAUAAUCAAUUUAUUCAUCUUUGACAUCCACCACGAUAUGAAAUGCAUCAUGAAAAUAGUUAAAGAGGACACGAAAGAUGCAAGCGAAGCUGGGAAUCAAUAAUUGGGGAAAAAAAUUGAAAAAGUUAAGGGAGCACUACCUUCCAUUUGGCUAUACUCACUACAAUAUUUAACAGUUUUACCGACGAGAUUUUUUCAUUGGGGUGCGAUUACCAUUCUGUCGGUGAAACUUUUACCGACUAAUUCACCGAAAGAAUAUAACCGUUGAAAUAAUAUUCAUUGGUAAUUCCAUCAUUUGUCACUAAUUCUGUCAGUAAAAAAAAAAAAUUGAUGGUUAUACAGACAGAAAAUAUGCGCCAAACAAAAAAACAAUUCCACUUCAUUCUGUCGAUAUGUCUCUUGGAAAAAUUGUCAUAUGACCAAAAAAAUACUGUAUACAAUUAUGUUGGUGAUUAUUUAAAAAUAUUUUUAAAAAAUCUAUAUAACAAAACUAAAAAAUAAUUAAAUUAAUAUAAAUCAACACUCCAUAUUACUCAAAAUUGAGUUGCUUGGAAAAAAGAAGAAGAAAAUCAACUCCAAAAAUUUGCAACAAAUAAAUAACAUAAAAAAACAACAACAACAUUGAUCUCAAAUGAAAAAAAAAAAUUCCUACAACGACAUUCAUAUAAGUAUUAAGAACAUAAAUAUUUAAAAAGAAAAUAAAAUAACAAAUAUAAUGAAAAAAAGAAAAAAAGAAAAACAUUACCUUAAUGUAGUUGCGAGUGAAGUUGAGAAGAGAAAAAAAAAACAAAUUCAUAAAGUAUGUUAAUUAAAAAAAAUCUGAGAAGAGAAAAGGGAAAAAAAGAAGAAGAAGAAGACAUACCUGAGAGUGGAGGAGUUGAGGAGAGAAGAGAAAGAAAGAAAGGGAUGUUGAUGUUUUUUACAUAAAGAAAAGAAGAAGGAGAAGAAAAGAAAGAAGAAGAGCAUGCCCGUCUGUUAUGAAAUGAGAGAUUAUAUUUAUUGGGGCAUUUUACUAAUGGUUUUUCCGAUGAAUAAUUAAAUAUUAAUAUUUCUAACCAAUCCGUCGGUGAUUUCAUCUUUAAUAUUUAAUUUAAAUUUUUAAUUUAAUCAAAAAAAUUUAGAAACCGCCAAACAUCAACAAUGAAUUCUCAAUCCGUUGGUGAUUCUGUGUAUAAUAUUUAAUUAAAAUUUUUAAUUUACUCGAAAAUUUUCACAAACCCGCCAAAUAACACCGAUGAAUUUUCAAUUCAUUGGUGAUUUCUUCUGUAAAGAACAGUAAUUGAAAGAAAGAAAGGGAUGUUGAUGUUUUUUACAUAAAGGAAAGAAAAAGAAGAAGAAAACAAAGAAAAAGAAGAAGAAGAACAGGCCCAUCUUUUGUGAAAUGAGAGAUUAUAUUUAUUGGGGCAUUUUACUGAUGGUUUUUCCGAUGAAUAAUUAAAUAUUAAUAUUUAUAACCAAUCCGUCGACGAUUUCAUCUGUAAUAUUUAAUUAAAAUUUUUAAUUUAACCAAAAAAAAUUAGAAACCAUCAAAUAUCAUCGAUGAAUUUUCAAUCCGUUGGUGAUUCUGUGUGUAAUAUUUAAUUUAAAUUUUUAAUUUACUCAAAAAUUUUCACAAACCUGCCAAAUAACACCGAUGAAUUUUCAAUUCAUUGGUGAUUUCGUCUGUAAAGAACAGUAAUUAGUAGUGCAAUUGAAAAGUGAACAGUUCCAGUGCUCUCUGGAAAAUACCAACGGAAUGUUUUGUCGAUGAUUCUCUUUGUAAUUGACAUGAUGAACAAUGUCAGAGAGAAGUGAACACUUUACCAAUGAUUUUACUGACAGAUUUUACCGAUGAAAUUAAUUCCAUCGGUUAUUCUGUUGUUAUAAAUGAUAUGUCAUCGUAUUUUUUUGGCUUUGUUUUAAUUCUUUUUUCCCACCAUAAUUCUCUCGGUAUAUAUCGAGACAAUAUUUCUAUCGGUAUAAUUCACUGUAAUUUACCUAUGAAAAUAUUUUGUUAGUACUUCCAUUUGUAUUUAUCAAUUUUCAGCUAUUGACUUAUACCUUGUACUAAAGGCUCCACACAUUAAAACAAGGAGGUAAAUCUAUCUACGAUUAUAUUGAUAAAUCUUAUUAAUUGUUGGCUAGGAAUGACUUGACCGAAAUGGAAUAAUAAUUAGUUGAAAGAUAUCCGAGUGGGUUAGGACAAUCCAUCUAAGACGUGGACAAUUUUGGUGGCAUAUCAAUGGGUCUUAAUGAUGGAGAAGUAAAAGUAGCAAGUUGUUAAGGCUAUAAACAAAGGUUUUCGGGCAUACCAUUACAAUAGAGGAGGGUCCAAUAGUAAUCUGACCAACCUCACCCAAAAAAAGAUAUACUUAGCAAAAUUAAUAGCCAAUUUGUUAGAAUUCUUGUUUAGCUUUCAGGAUUUGUUGUUAUAGUUAUGGAGAAUUAGGGCAUUGAGCAAGUAGUGUAGCAAACAAGAGAGUCAUCCAAGAAGAAAUAUAUUGAUAGAGGAGCUUAUGGAUGAUGUGGCUAAUCAUGUUUAUGAUUAUUUUGACAGCAGUGAAGAGAUUUUGAAUGGAGAUGGCAACACUACUCUAGUUGUUUGAAAGAUCAUGUUGUCAUCUAAGGGUGAUUUGAAACAAAAUUAGUUGUGCUCUAACAUCUUCCAAACAACUUGUAUUAUUGAUGACAAGGUAUGCAUUAUAAUCAUCGACAAUGAUAACUGUGAGAAUAUAGUGUCGAUCAAAGUAGAGAAGUUGUAGCUUAAAACAAAAUACCACCCCACCCCUCCAAACUGAAAUGGAUGAAUAAAGACAACAAGGUAAUUAUGGACAAACAUUUUGAUAAUAUUUGGUGUGCUUUGAUGGCUAUGGAUGUGUAUCAUAUACAAUUAGGAAAGGUUUGGCAAUAAGAUAGGAAUGUUGUGUUUGAUGGGAGAUGUAUUACAUAUGCCCUUAAUAUAAAAAGAAAACAUAUAUUAUUGGCACCUAAAAGGGAAGAGGCAAUUGUUGAAGGAAAUGGUAAGAAUAAGUUGUUUUUUAUCUAGAUUUUUGGAGAAGGAGAAGACAAAUAGGAGGUAGGAGAGAAAAGGAGGUGAAGAGUUUGGAAAUGGUUUGUAAUGGUUUGGAGUGGAAAAAGUCAUUGAUAAUUAGUAGUGGGUCUAUCAAGAUUAAGGGUGGUGUUUAGGAAUUGAUUUUUAACCUAUUUUAUAUGAGUUUAUUGCAAAACAGAGGUCCAAAAGUGGUCAACAACAUUGACAAUAUAAUGCCCAAAACUCGAGGACGAGUUCUUUCCAACUCGGUGAAAAUAAUGUAGUCGGGUUUGUAGACAUUUGGGGUUCCUAGCAGUUAUAUGGAGAUCUGUGCCAAAUAGACUAUGUGAAUAGCAUAUUAAAUACUUUCAUGGACCAGUGAAAUAAGUAUAGACCCAACACAAAGUUUGGUCACGUCAAACUAGGAUAAUGACUUAAAAUGACGAUAGCAUGAGAUCUGAUUGUUGGAUUGGGCUCAAAUUUUAACAUGAGAUUCUAUAGGUUGUUUUUCUUUGUAAAGCCCCUAUGUCGCUCAUCAGACCUUAUAUGUCCUAAAAUUAGGCUCAAAAGUUGUUGUUCGGACCAAUUUUGUUAUUUUUCCUAGCUAUUUUUUGAAAUUAUUUAUUUUUGGAUUUUAUGUUACUUUCAUUUAUAUUUUAGGAUUCUGAUGUUGUUUCUUAUUUUAGGCUAGUUUUUCUACUCUAUAAAUAUCAUUGUAAACCUCCUUAGGGGCUGACGUGGUCAUAUUUUUAUUGCAGAAAUUAAAUAAAGUUUUAGAGUUAUUUGUGUUUUAACUUAAAUUCAGUCUAUUUUCUAUUUUUUAUUAUCUGAUGUUGUCUUGUUGUUCUUCUUCCUUCUGCCUUCAUCAAUUAAGGGAGUAGAAUAAGCCAGAAGUGGGCACGGAAUCUCCAAGGUCAGGAAGCCGACAUGCACUUUAUUUCUUUGUUACAACUAAAUAUUUGUCUAUGAUAUGGUGAAGGUUUCUUGAGAACCAAACUGUCAAAGAGAUGAUAAAAUUGAACCUGGUCAGAAUUUGGACUCGAUGAAUGUUAUUUAGGUUCAGUGAGUUAGUGGCCUUGAAUUUUCCGCACGUUCUUAUAUAUACAUUAUCCAGCUUUAUUUGAUGUUAGGAAAUUCUAGAAAAGGAUGAAGAUGAAAAUAAAGAUUCAUAAGGGAUAAAAUGGAGAAGAGGAAAUUGCUAUCUUCCUCUAAUGUUGCCCACUGUCUAGAUUCAUGCUAGCUAGAUGCUUGGGUUGGAGUGCUGGAUCAAUGCAAAGACAGCAACACAUUGGUGCGAAAAGGAUAGAACCUUUUCGUGUAAUAUAUUUAUACUUUUAGAAUCUAAGUAAGAGCUUUCUCGAAUAAAUGAAAGGGAAAGGCUGGAUAGAAAUCAUCAUAGAUCAUAAUUUUGUUCUCUUCAUCGACCAAAUCCCACUCAUUCGACCUAGUUUUGCGUCCAGGUCCAUUAUGUAUUGCUAGCUGCUAGCUGUAUAGAACAGUUCCUAUAAAUAGCAUGGCUGAUGACCCAUACUGAGCAUAUAAACUUCAAGGAUUAGUUAUAUAGUAUAGGUUCAAUGGUGCAUAAAUCAGGUGUCCCCUAGAGUUCCCCGGAGCACUUCACUGGGACUCUUUAGAAUGAAAGAGCAAUAUCAUCAAUAUUCCCACUGAAGUGUUUGGGGGAACUCCGGGGGUCAUUUGAUGUCAAUAAUCAGGAAAUGACAAGCUCAUAAAAUUAGAAAUAGGGAUUUCUGUCGCUCCUUGGUCCUUGCAUAUAAAUGGAAUACACAAUUCCGUCAUCUUGUUUAGUUCACUUCUUCCCAUUUUCCUUUUCAAGAUGGCUAGCUUGUUAAAAAAACUAACAUGACCUCUCCAUCAAUAAGCUGUCAACACUUCCUCCAUAACGUUAGAGCUUACGUUUGCAAUUCCUUGAUACCGUUUAAUGAGAUUCAUUGUUACAAUGAUUUGAUAGAUUUUUAUCAAUUUCAAGGCUAAAACCCGACAAAAUGGUGUACAGGCUAGUUCCUCGUACAUGAACAUCCCUGAUUAUCUGAAAUGUUUUUGAACACUCUUGUCUUCUAAAGAAGUCGAUCUGACACUUGUGGAUUCUUUCUUUACUAGCACUGAUGUUAUUAUUCCAUGUUGUUCUUUGUUAUAAAUCAUGUUCAUGUCUGCCUAGAAAUUGAAUUGGAUAUCCUAAUGAAUAUACUGCAGGAAAGGGUUGCUGUACCGUUUUAAGGGAUCGGUUUAAAACCCUAGAGAAAAGAAGAUUAAUUGUUCCAAAAGAAAGACCGGAAGGUUAGCUGAAUUUAUUUUUGUUAUUUAACUGUUCUUUUGAGCUGAUUCGCCUUCGCAUUUUUUUGUGCACGCAGCAGCUCAGCCACCUGUCAAUCUGAUGCUUCAGCCCCGGGACAAUUUCUUAAUUGCAGCGACCUCUUGCAAUUAUUAUUAUAUAUUAAUUAAUGUCAGAUUUUCACGUAAUUAAAGUCUAGACGUGAAGUGGUAGAAUUUAGGGGCCAAAAGUUGCAUGAUUCCGAUACUACCUUUUUUUAUCAACAGCCUAAUUAAAUUCAAAGGCAGAUGUGAUCUGUAUGCUCACCGUAUGGAUUUUUGUAAUCUAAGCUACUCUAGUCUUUCCAAGUUACAACUAAAUGUUAGUCCUCUUUAUAUUUUUUUAGCACAAACCUUUUUGUGCUCAAGUUAUCAGGUUGUAAAAUUCUAUACCCAAAACAGUUCCAUGACUUCAUAAUUUGGUGACAAAAAGCUCCCAUUUUCCGUUUUCUUCACCUAUCUUAGAGAAAACUAGGUAACUGAAACAGGAAAAGAUAAACACAAGUAAAAUAUGUUAAAGCAUAUUGAUUAUUAUGGGUUACUAAUUCAUAUGAUUUCAACUAGUUAUUGAGAUACAUCUGGACAUCUUACUAUGUAAAUCAGCAAACAAAAGAAAUUCAGGGUUUAUAUUAUUUAUUUUAGGGUCGAAAGUUGUGUUGCAAUUAAACUAUCAUUUAAAAAAAUAUAUCAACUAGGUCAUUAUUUGAAAUAUAUCCUCUCGUCUAGUUACUUUAUUAUUAUCAUCUUCAACAACUUCAAUUUCGACAUGAUUUUUAGUUUUGAUUCUCAUAACAAAUAACCAAUCACCUUUAUAAUGAUUAUUUUUAAAAAGAACAAGUGUAUGUAUAAUACAUUUAUUAGUAUUGUUUGACAAAAACAAAAAUAUCAUCGAUGUUGUGAAGUUAACCUCUUUUAUUUAUUUUGACGACCAUACCAUGGUAACAAUCUACUCUAAUCCCUCUUUUGGUUUCUUAUCAAUAAUAUUUGAAUAAAACUAAUGUAUAUUAUCUUGCUCACUAUGAUAAGUCUUUUUGAAUUCCUCGCUCCGAGUAAACAUGUUCAUGGACUGGGCAGCUCGACAAGCUGAGCUUCAAAUUGAGCUAGGCAUGACCAGUCAGUUUUUUAUCAAGCUACGUGUUGUUCGCACAUAAAAUAGCUUAAAAAGUAAAAUCCUAAUUCUAUUUGUAUUUGUAUGAGGCUACGUACACUAUAAAUCCAACUAAAACUUCUUUUAACACAAAAAGAAUUUAAAUCCUAAAACAUGGAUUUUAAAAAAAUUAAAUUGGUGACAUAAUAAAUCGAUUCAGAUCAAUCCUGAUUAAUCUAUCAAAUUAGCAACCUGAAUUUUAAGACCUUUUAAAAAGAAAAUUGGAACCAAUUAAUCCUAUAAAAACCAUAAAAAUAUAAUGAAACUAAUUCAAUUCAUAAAAUUGAUUUGGUCACAAUGUUUUGAAAGGGUGGAUAUGCUUUUUAAUGUCUUGAUGCAUCUUGAAGUUCAACCAUUUUGAUAAAUUUUCAUUAUAUUAAUCUGAGUAAAAAGAAAAAAAAUAUCAAAUAAUACUUUCAUAAUAACAUCUCUUCAUUUCAAAAUAAUGAUAACAUAGACAAGUAUAUUGAAAUUAGAAGUGUAGUAUGGUCUUCCAAAACUUGAAAACCUAUAUUAAAACAAGCUUUCAACAUAGUCUAAUAUUGCCUACAUAUGUCAUGAAGGCACCUUGCAUUCCUAGGUCUCUUUCGGUUAUUUUAGUGCAUUCUUAGCUACCCUAUUGAGCUGCUUUUUUUUUUUUUUUGGCCACACUCCCCUUUGCCUAUAAAUUAACCAAAAUCGCAGUUAUUUGUGGUGAAAUUUGAUUAUCUGAGAGCUUCCUUCUCCUCUUUUUUUUAUGAUGAGUUUCUCUCUAUUUUCAAGGGAAUAACAAUUUAUAAAAAUAAAAUUAUGAAUCAAAUUGUAAGAAUCAUAAAUAACAAGGAUUAAAUAUGAAAAAGAGUGAAACUCGAGGGAUCAAAUUAAAUACUUAUAUGCUUUCUGAAUAAUAUAAGUAGGAAAAAUAUUUUUAAUUUAUUGUUGGAAUAUUCAAGAACGUAUGAGAUACAUGAGAGCAUGCAAAUCAAAACAAGUAAAAAUAUAUAGAACCACCCCAGCAUAAUAUGUAAGGAAGUAAUUGAAAAGAAAUAAAUUUCAAUCAUCAAAAUAUAAAGAGGUCAAAAUUUUAGGGAUCUAUAAAGGAAAUAAAGGGGUUAUAAACAAUAACAUGAAUAGUUAUUAUAGAAUAGGAUUCUAAUAUAGGAUGUUGUAAUCAUUACAAUUACUCAUAUAUCUAUCAGAAUAGGAUUCUAAUAUAAAAUGUUGUAAUCAUUACAGUUACUGCAGUGUUCUGCUGCCUCUAUAUAAAUAAGAGGGUUGACUAAGACACAACCCAACACAUUCCAUUAUUCUCAACUUGGUAUCAGAGCCACAAAACCCUAAAAUAAAUUAAACCUACUUUUCUCAUAGCCUCCCUUCUUCAAUGGAACAGCUGCCACAUACAUCUUCAAAUUCUGCAGCACCAGCAGUCUAGCUUUCUUCUUCUCUGACAAUGCAACCCUCUUCUCUUGCAGCGCCUCCUCUACUGCGUCCCCGCCUAGAUUCUCCUCUACCAUGGCUAGUGAACGCCUCCUCUUACAGCCCACGUCUGCUGCCUCUACUGCCGCAAGCAUUAUCUCCUUUUCUCACAGUCAUCAAGUCAUCUCCCUCAAAUUAACAAAAACCAAUUAUUUAUAUUAGCGUAUGCAGAUGCUGCCUUAUCUCCUAGGCCAAGGAGUUUUUGGUUUUGUUGAUGGCUCCAACACAUCUCCAUCAACACAUGUUCUUGCCUAUGAUGGUAUCUCUCUUCAGGUAAAUCCGCUUUUUCAAAUCUGGAAACAACAGGACUAACUCAUUCUAAGUGCUCUUCUUUCCUUCCUAUUUAUGGAAGUUUUGCAUCUUGUUGUUGGCUGUCAAAGUUCUUGUUCAGCUUAGGGCACUCUUGAGCGAGCUCUCGCUUCCACCUCCAACUCUCAUAUUAUGCAACUUCACGGCUCUCUUCAGGAUCUUUGACAAGGUGAUGAAUCAGUAACUCAAUUUAUGCAAAAAAGUGAAGGCCUUAUUUGAUGAAUUGGCCGCUACUGGUCGGCUAGUUUCGCUUGAAGAUUUCAAUUUAUAUAUGUUUCAUGGUCUUCAGGGAGAGUGUAAAGACUUAGUUACUAGUCUUAUUACCAAGGUUGAACCUUUAUCAUAUGCAGAUCUUCACAACCAUCUUUUCACACAUAAAUUUCUUCAUAAAUCUUCUACUGCCAUACAUGCUCCUCUGCUGCCCACACCCAGCAUUCCAUCUUCUGCUUUUGUUGCGCAGCGCCAGACUUUUAGCAAUUCUAGCCGCAGCAAGCGCUGUUUCAAUGAUGGCUGGCGUCCCAACCAGUCCAACAGCAGAGGCAACCGAUUUGCGGGCUCCAGACCUGAUCACCGCAGCUUCCAAAACCCAUCCUUCGGUGAUAAUAAGCAGGGCUCUGCGCAAUAGGGGGCAAAAUCCACGCUGCCAACUGUGUCAGAAUUUCAGCAUACAGUUCCCCAUUGCCCUCAAUUCCAGUAGCGAGGUUAUGGCCAACAACCUAUUGCCAACCUGGUGCAGCGCAAUCUCUCCUCAACCGGUUCUGUUGAUUGGUUUCCAGAUAUCGAUGCCAAUCAAUAUGUCACACCUGAUCUUGCCACCUUGACCGCUUCAGAACCGUAUCUUGGUAAUGAUAAUUUGCAUGUUGGUGAUGGUAAGGGCCUUCCUACAUCUCAUCUUGGUCAUACAAAAAUGUAUACACCACAUUGUUCUUUCACCUUAUCUAAUGUUCUUCAUGUUCCUGCAAUCACGAAACCUCUGCUCUCUGUUUAGAAAUUUUGUCUUGAUAAUAAUGUUUAUUUUGAAUUUCACCCUUGUGUGUUUUAUGUCAAGGAUUUCAACACCCAUGAAGUCCUUCUCUCAGGUCAGAAUAAAGAUGGUCUCUAUGCCCUGACCAAGUCUUCCAUCACAUCAGUUCCUCAAACCUAUUGGUUUCCCUGCACUUCUGCCUCUACUGAUUUAUGGCAUCGUCGACUAGGUCAUCCUACUUCACGUAUUUUUCAAUUGUUAAUCACGAAAAAUAAGAUCAUUUGUAACAACAAACGUCUUAAUUUUCAAUGUCAAAGUUGUCCAUUAGGAAAAUCAUCGUGUUUUUCUGUAGGACCUACGGGUCACAAAACUUCUGCUCCACUUGAAUUAAUUUUUAAUGAUGUAUGGUGCCCUACUCCUCUUUUUUCUUCAGAUGGCUAUUGUUAUUUUGUUAUCUUUGUUGAUGCUUAUACUAAAUAUGUAUGGUAUUAUCCUCUCAUUACCAAGUCUGAUGUUUACUCUAUUUUUCAUCAAUUUUAGACUCUUGUCAAACAUCAAUUUUCAUUAAAAAUAAAAUCUAUUCAAACUAAUUGGGGCGGUGAAUACCGAAAACUAUCCAUAUUUUUUCAGACCAUUGGUAUUCAUCAUCAUCUGAUUUGUCCCCACAUUCAUGAACAAAAUGGAACAGUAAAGCGUCGUUAUAGGCAUAUUGUGAAAACAGGUCUUAUUCUUUUAGGGCAAUGUAAAGCACCUUUUCGAUUCUGGAAUUAUACUUUUAAAACCUCUAUUUAUCUUAUAAAUCACAUGCAUACUCCUAUUCUUGCCCAUCGCUCUCCAUUUGAUUGUUUAUUUCAACGGUCUCCUGAUUAUCAUUUUUUGUGUACCUUUGGGUGUCUCUGUUUUCCUUUUCUGUGUCCAUAUAAUAAUCAUCAAUUGGAUUUUCAUUCCUCUCCAUGUGUGUAUUUUGGAUAUAGUUCCUCGCAUCUUGGUUAUCGAUGUCUUGACAUUGCAUCUCACCGUAUUUAUAUUUCUCGUCAUGUCCGCUUUCAUGAACAUGUGUUUCCAUUUGAUAAUUCUAAACAGAUUGCAAAGGUCUCCGCCACAACCCCCACCCCACCCGCUACUAUCACCCUCCCAAAUUUGCUAAACCACCCACCGCCACCCACUUUCACUAGCCAUCCAAACAGCCCACAACACUCCGCUUUGCCACUCCAAACAGCCACCCAACCACAGCCUCCACCCAUCCCUUGGUCAUCAUUCCAUUCUUGUUUAUCUAACUGAUUAGUACUUAAAAGUGCAUAUUUAUCAAGGUUUUAUAUCAUCAUUUUGCACUUAAAGUAUCAAUAACUCCGUAACUAAAGCAUGUUUUAUAAUAACAAGUCUAAUACUAUAAAAUGCCUUAAUAAAUGAUAAAUGUUCAUCUUAAAUACAGGCCUAUCACAUAAAUCAAAGGAUUUAUUGAUGAAUUCAACUACUAAAAUUUGUGAAGAUAAAGAGAGGGUGAAACUUAGAAAAGAGAUGUUGAUGCAUUCCAAACUAGAACACUGUUCGGUGUUUGGGUCAUAUCUUAAGUUCUAGAUGUCCAAAUGACCUAAACUUUUUACAUAGAAUUAUUAAGACAUAUGCCUACAACUUUCAUGCUUUCAUCAAGAUCUAAUAAGGCUAUUUUCAAGUCCAAAUUAUAGCAACAAUGGAGAAGUCUGAAUCUGUCCUACAGCCCAAACAUUGUUCAGUGUUUGGCCCAUAUCUGGAGUUCUAGAAGUCUAAACGACCUCCAUUUUUUUUUCUGGAAAGCUGAGUCAAUUUCCAACAACUUUCAUGUCUUCCAGUGGACCCAGUUCUUAUGGUAGCAUUUUCGUUUUAUUCAAACAAGAAGAUAAGGAUUUUCACCAAGUCAAAAGUUGGCCAGUACCCACUCAACAAUUAGUCAUCAAAUCAAUAAUUCCAAAUUUUGGCCUAUAAAAGGAGGCAUUUGCCAUGUAUUUAGGGGCUUGGUUGUUCAGAUCAAGUUCAUGCUCUUUAUUUCUCUCUUUAUAUUGUUUUGUAAUUCUUAAUUUUUGCUUUCAUUAAUAUCUUGUUUAUACUUUUCAUUUCCUUUCCUUUCCUUAGUUAACUUGUAUCUUAUUUAUGUUCUUGUUUUGUUUAUUUAUGUUUCUCUUAUUCAUUAUGUUUAGCUAAGUUUAUUAUGUCAAGGUGAAAAGGUUACACUAAUGGUGUAAGAACAAGUAUGGUGUAAACUCAACAUGGACCUUAAUGUUCAAUAUUAACAUGUCUUAUCUUUUUAUCUUACUAAUUCUUAAUACCUUGCUUGUUAAAUGGUUAAUCUAGAUUUGUGUUGUAUAAUACUUGGUACAACAAAUGCUUGGCACUCUCAUAGCCCAACCGUAUAGUAUUACCUACACCUAGGCUAUGAAAGAAACUUGAUUUGUUGUUAACAUCAGUUAACAUCAUGAAUUCCUGACAAUAUUUAAAAGUUUGGUGUUAUGUAAAUAAGAUAAUUAAUAUGAUCAUGUUAAUAAUUUAUAAUGAGCUAUUAAUGACAAAUCAUCCGAUUGGAACCUCCUCCGUGUGUGGUUUCCAAAUUGAGUAAUAAGAGUUUAUAUUAUACUUGUUUGAAAUACCAUUAGUGGAUCUUCUAACCUUGACAUUUGUUUUUAUCAUUGUUUAAUCCUUACAUUAAUCUUUCAUCUCAAAGUUCUCAUUAAUUUCUUCAUCUUCUUCUUUUAUUACUACUACUACUACUACUACUACUACUACUUCUAUUAUUAUUUACAUUUUGUUUAUAUUAUAUAAUAUAUGUUUUUGAUCUUUUCAUAAACUCAGUAUAUAGGCUGGAAACCUGUGACCCGAUCUUUUAGAUCAUUCUCAGGUGUAACAACGCCACGUACUGAGCAUUAUUAUUACUAUUACUAUUAUUAUUGUUGUUAUUAUUGUUGUUGUUGUUGUUGUUGUUGUUGUUGUUGUCUUGUUAUUUAUAAUUUAUACAAUUAGCCUCUCUGUGGUUGGACCCCGAUCUUUCCGGGUUAUUUAUUACUUCGACACUCCUGCACUUGGGAGAAGACAUCAAUAUUUUGGUCAUGUCAAGUUUUUGGCGCCAUUACCGGGGAGGUAAAUUCUUGUACAAAUUAUAGUAUUUAUUUUUUUUUCUCUUUUCACUUUUCUUGUAUCUAACUUUGUUUCUUUUGUUUUGUUUCUUUUUGUUUUGUUUUCUUCUUCCUUUUAUUCUCUUUCUACAAGUGCAUGAGUGUUUGAUCACAUACAUUAAGUGGUAGACUUUGUAAGGUAUCCUCAUCAUUUUCAGAAAAUAUGACCGAAGAGGAUAACCAGUCACUUCAUAAUGAGAAUAACCGUGUUAGGACUCUUAGAGACCACAUGAAUCCCACAAGAACAAGUGCACACUCAUGCAUAGUUUUCCCUCCUGAUGCAUCCCAUUUUAAUUUUAAGCCAGACAUUAUUCAACUUUUACCUUCUUUUCAUGGCUUAGAUCUAGAAAAUACAUACUUGCAUCUAAGAGAAUUUGAAGAAGUUUGUAACACCUAUAAUGACUUAAAUUGUAGCAUGAAUACCAUUAGAUUAAAGCUUUUUCCUUUUUCGCUAAAAGAUAAAGCUAAAACAUGGCUACAAAAUCUUAGGUCAAGAUCCAUUCGAGAUAAAUGCAACAAUAAUUUUUAAAAAAGUUUUUUCCAUCUCACAGAACCAACUCUUUCAAAAGACAAAUCACCACUUUCACUCAAAAACCAAGUGAAACAUUUUACCAAUGUUGGGAUAGGUAUCGAGACUUGCUUAAUACUUGCCCUCAUCAUGGUUUUGAAACAUGGAGAUUGGUUUCACAAUUUUAUAAAGGAUUAACACCUAAAGAUAGGCAAAUGGUUGAAUUGAUGUGCAAUGGAACUUUUAAAGAUAAAGAUCCUAAUGAAGCAAUGGAGUACCUAGACUUGCUAGCUAAAAAUGCACAAAAUUGGGACACUACAGGUACUUAUGAGGCACCAAGUAAAACCCAACCUCAUACAUCUAAUGGAGGUAUGUAUAAUCUUAGGAAAGAUCAUGACCUCCAAGCCAAGUUUGCAUCUUUAGCUAAAAAAGUCUAGGCACUAGAAUUGAAAAAGAGUGGUCAAUUAAAAUCUGUUCAAAACAUUAUGUGUCAAAUCUGUGAAACAAAUAAACAUGCAACCAAUGAUUGUCCAACUUUGCCUUCUUUCAAGGAAUGCCUCCAUGAACAAGCUCAUGCUUUAUAUAGUUUCCAAAGGCCCAAUCAUAACCCAUACUCACAAACAUACAACCCUAGUUGGAGAAAUCACCCAAAUUUCAAUUGGAAGAGUGAUAACAAUAAUGCACAAACUUCGCAGCCACCGUUUCAAGCACACCAUAAUUUCCAAAAUUUUCAUGGAUAUGCUCCACCUCCUAGAAGAAAUCUUAAGGAAACAUUGCAUGCAUUCAUUGAAAAGUAAGAGACAAUCAACACUCAAUUUACUCGCAGUUUUCAAGAGAAAGGUAAGUUUCCAUCUCAACCACAACAAAAUCCAAAGGGGCAAUACAAUGCAAAUGCAAGUAGUUCCGGAAGCCAACACAUGGAUCAAGUCAAAUCAGUCAUCACUCUUCGCAGUGGUAAGGUUAUUGAAAAACCCACUCUUGAACCUUAUGAGAAAGAUGAUGAGUCAAUCUCUGAGGGUAAGGAAGGGGUUGAAUCUGAACAUUGUGAAGAAAAGACUGAUUCUCCGCCAGCACUUCCAUUUCCUCAUGCCAUGACCAAACAAAGAAAGUUAAUCACAAUUCUGAAAUCCUUGAAAUUUUCAAACAAGUAAGGAUCAAUAUACCUUUGUUGGAUGCUAUUAAAUAGGUACCUUCCUAUGCUAAAUUUUUGAAAGAUCUAUGCACUGUGAAGAGAAAGCUGAAUGUGAAAAAGAAAGCUUUUUUAGCCAAACAAGUAAGUGCUAUUCUUCACAAUAAUAAUGUUUUGAAAUAUAAAGACCCUGGUUGUCCUAUAAUUUCUUGCUUUAUUGGAGAACAUAAAAUUAAAAGAGCCUUACUUGAUCUUGAAGCUAGUGUGAAUUUACUUCCAUAUUCGGUUUUUCAAAGUCUAAAUCUAGGUGAGUUAAAACCAACUUCUGUAACUCUUUUACUUGCUGAUAGAUCUGUAAAAGUGCCUAGAGGAAUAAUUGAAGAUGUGUUAGUACAAGUCGAUAAAUUCAUUUAUCCUGUGGAUUUUAUUGUCUUGGACACGCAACCUGUUGAAGCAUGUAAUUCAUUUCCUAUUAUUUUAGGACGUCCGUUUCUUGCAACUUCUAAUGCAUUGAUUAAUUGUAGGAAUGGACUCAUGAAGUUAUCUUUUGGAAACAUGACAUUGGAGAUGAAUAUUUUCAACAUUUACAAGACCUGGAGAUGAUAAUGAUUUACAAGAAGUAGAUCUUAUUGAAGAAUUAGUUCAUGAUCAACUUGAAUCUACUUUGAGUAAAAUUGAGUUGGAUGAAUCUGAAGAUUUGCAAAUGAUUUAUUCUCAGGAAGAAAUCACGGAUGAAAAAGGCACCAAAAAUAUUGAUGUCGAUCUUUUAUCAAGAGUGACAACAGAUUUGACAUCUGACAUCCCACCAAUCGAUGAUUACUCUCCUGACGAAUCCUUACUUUGUCUUAGUUCAAUGCCUUGGUUUGCUAAAAAUAUCAACUUUCUUGCUUUAGGAGAUUUGCCAGCUCACUGGAGUACUGAAGACAAAGGAAAGUUUUUGAACGAAGUGAAGAACUUUUAUUGGGAUGACCCUAACUUAUUCAAAUAUUGUCCUGAUCAAAAUUUUCAAAAUGCAUUCCUGACAAUGAGGUAAGUAGUGUCAUUAAACUUUGUCAUUAUGAGGGAGUCAAUUCUCAUCAAGAAAGACGACUGCAAAAAUCUUACAAAAGGAUUUUAUUGGCCCACCAUGUUCAAGGACACGCAUGCAUUCUGCAAAACUUGUGAAAAUUGUCAAAAAGUUGAUACUGGUAAAAAAGUUUGGCUUUAUAAUUCUCAACUCCAUUUAUUUCCUGAAAAAAUAAGAUCAAGAUGGAGCGGUCCAUUUAUUUUAAAACAUGUGUAUCCUUAUGGGGCCCUUGAUAUUGAGAAUUCAAAGAAUGACAAUGUUUUAAAGGUAAAUGGACAUCGUUUGAAAGCUUACUUUGAUGAGUUUCCUGGUGAAAAUGAAUCCAUUAGUUUGAAUGAUCUUUUAGAUAGAGGUUGAUUAUUUUGUUUUUCUCACUUUUUUUUGUGUUCCUUUUUGUGUGACUUUUGUUUUGCUAGUCUCUCACCCCGGUCAAAUGGCGGAUAACGGUACUCCGUGACUCUUAAGUCGGUUCUUUCAGUUUCCCAUGAUAACUGAUAUCUGUGUAUAAUUAUGCAAUUCUUCUACUCUUUCUCUUUCUUUGAAUCUCUCCAAUUCUCAUUUGAAAAUGGACACCACUCUUGAAAAGUUGAAAAAGUAUUUUCCCGCUCUACCUCAGAAUGUGAUUACAAAAAUUUACCGUGCUAGAUGUGUAAGAUUGAGGUUGUUAAUGAACCAUGGAAUUCCUAAAGAUAUUCGUUGGCUGAUUGAAGCAAAGGUCCGGUUAUCAGGUGAGUCCUCCAAUUCUUUCAUUUCACACAUGCCUGGAACAGGUAAGAGCACUUUUGCAAAGAAACAACGUCUAAAAUGACUAAAAGUUUGUCACAGAUGUGCCAGAUGGAAUUGUAAUGUGACGUGUUGUUCUUUAGGAAUGGUAUUUGUAAACCAUGAAGAUAAAAUACAAUUCAUUAAGGAUGGCCUGAGUAAGGGGUCUUUAGAUAAUCUUUUAUUGACUCUUGAGACGCACCCUAGUGGAGAUGUGCAUCGUGCAAUUUAUGAUUUAUGGCCACAAUUCCAUAAAGAACAUGCUCGACUUAGUCUUGGGAAUCUGACUAAAAAAGACCUGUUUGCCAGUUUUUAAGAAAACUGGAUGGGAAGCCUAUCCCCGACCCAUAGAGGGCGUUUAAGCCGUUCUUGGACGUAAAACCAAGGAAAGAUGUGAGCCACAAUCACAACUACCUGUACAUACACAUGCUUUUUCAAAAUAAAUAAUUAAAUAAAGAGAGAGAGAGAGAGAGAGAGAGUGAGACUACAGCUGGCCUACAUAUAGGUGGUAUGAUUGCAUUUUCAAUUUCUCAUCUAUAAAUUCUUCUCUUCCUUCCCUUCAUUUCUACUCAACCCAUACAUUCAUCAAAUACAAACGUGUGUAGAAAUGGCAGGUUCCUCAAGUAAUCACAUAAAAAUAUUUGUGUUUUCGGUGGAUCCAGUCCUGGGAAAGAAAAAGAGUUUUUAGAAUCAGCAAAUCAUCUUGGUCAGGUACUAGCUGAGCGAAAGAUUCAUUUAGUGUAUGGAGGCAGCCUUGGGUUAAUGGGGGAGUGUCAAUAGCUGCAUUUUAGGAGGUAGUCAAGUUUUGGGGGUUGUCCCCAAAGCUUUAGCACAAGGGGACAUCAUUGGAAAAACAAUUGGAGAGGAAUUACAGUCCCCACAAUGUCUGAUCGACUGAAUGCAAUGUUUAACCAUGCUGAUGCCUUCAUUGCCUUACCAGGUGGUCUGGGCACAUUGGAAGAGAUCUUUCAUAUUUCCUCUUGGGCCCAACUGCACAUUCACCAUAAACCCAUAGGUUUGUUAAAUGUUAAUGGUUUUUAUGAUAAGUUGUUGUCUUUUCUUGAUCAUGAUGUGGAACAGGAAUUUCUAACAUCUUCAGCACGACAAAUCAUAAUCUCUGCUGCUACUGUUGAACAAUUGAUUGACCAACUACAAUCUUUCAUCCCUGUAAUUAAUCCCUCCAUGAGCCCCAUAAAUUGGUCAACUAAGGAAAGUCGUAAAAAACUUAGAUUGGAUUUGAGCCUUCGUUUGUAAAAACUUGUGUCUUUUGGUUUUAUUAUUGUGUUUUGUUGUUUCUUAUAUUUGUUUAAGUGUGUUUCAGGUUUGUCAGUGUUCGUUAUUUCAGGUGAUGUCUUCUAUACUCUAUCUUUCUACCUUAAGACAUUGAGGACAAUGUCUCAUUUUGGUUGGGGGGAAAGGGUAGUAGUUGAUAUUAAAAAAAAAAAACUGUGUUUUCUAUUUCAUAAACUAUUUGCAAAACUGUUGUUACUAGGAUGGUAGAGUAAAAGGAGUUCUUUUGUUAAAGUGACUCUUGAGACGCAUCUUAGUAAACAUUCUUAACAGGUCUAUCAGAAUACUUCUUGAAAUAUUCAGGUUUACAAACUCUCACGAUUGUUACUGUCAUAUGCUCAUUUAACAAGUAUUUUAAAUCUUCAUUUUCACACACACACUUUAACAUAUGAUUGUGGGUUGCACAUUGGAUUAUUACAUUAUUUAUGUUCUUUUGUUAAAGGUAACAACUAAGGGAAAGGGAUAGUAUAUAAUUUGCAAAAAAAAAAAAAACAAUGAUAAUAAAAAGGUAGAUAAGUUUGGUUUCGUAGCCUCUCUAACCUAAGCAAUUAAACCCGAAGGGGUGGGAACUAUUGGCCCAACACUUGUUACAUGGGUUGAGGAGAAAAGCUUAAGGAAAUCAAACAUUACACUAUCUACGUAUCAGUAUCUGCAACCCGAGUUGCUAAGCUCGUAAGGGUGUCUCAACACCUAAUGCCCUAAGACCAACUGCUCUGGGAGUCAUUAGCCUAAAACUCGUUACAUGGAUUAAAGAUACAUUGUGUUUCAAGUUGUAUGUGUAUAUAAAUAAAUAAAUAAAAAGAAAAAAAAUAAUAAUCCCAACCUAAGGAAGUUAGCCUUAAACAUUAGAACAAAAAAUUUUUUUUCUUCCAAGUAAAGCCCCAUACCUAUAUGUUGAUAUUUUGAGCACAAAAGAAAGGUUUAGUAAUAUCUUGUUUAAGAGGUAUUGAGCAGAUAUAUGAAUUUAAUGAGAGUUUGUUUAUCUGGAUAAAUUAAAGGAAGUUGAAUGAUGAAUGCCUUGCUUUAUGGAAUUUGCAAAUUGUUUUUCUAUUUUAACGCUUUGAUUACUAGGGACUAGUAAUAAGCUGGUUGGGGGGGUGAUUAGUACUUAAAAGUGCAUAUUUAUCAAGGUUUUAUAUCAUCAUUUUGCACUUAAAGUAUCAAUAACUCCUUAACUAAAGCAUGUUUUAUAAUAACAAGUCUAAUACUAUAAAAUGCCUAAUAUAUGGUAAAUGUUCAUCUUAAAUGCACCUAUCACAUAAAUCAAAGGAUUGAUUGAUGAAUUCAACUACUGAAAUUUGUGAAGAUAAAGAGAGGUGAAACUUAGAAAAGAGAUGUUGGUGCAGUCCAAACUGGAACAUUGUUGGUAAUUGGGUCAUAUCUCGAGUUCUAGAUGUCCAAAUGACCUCAAAUUUUACACAGAUUCAGUAAGACAUAGGCCUACAACUUUCAUGUUUUCAUCAAGAUCUAAGAAGGCCUUUUCAAGUCCAAAUUAUAGCAACAACGGAGAAGUCGAAUCUGUCCUGCAGCCCAAACACUGUUCAGUGUUUGGCCCAUAUGGAGUUCUAGAAGUCCAAAUGACCUCAUUUUUUUUCCUGGAAAGCGAGUCAAUUUCCUACAACUUUCAUGUUUUCAGUGGACCCAGUUCUGAUGUAGCAUUUUCGUUUUAUUCAGACAAGAAGAUAAGGAUUUUCACCAAGUCAAAAGUUGGCCACCCACUCAACAAUUAGUCAUCAAAUCAAUAAUUCGAAUUUUGGCCUAUAAAAGGAGGCAUUUGCCAUGUAUUUAGGGGCUUGGUUGUUCAGAUCAAGUUCAUGCUCUUUAUUUCUCUCUUUAUAUUUUUUGUAAUUCUUAAGUUUUGCUUUCAUUAAUAUCUUGUUUAUGCUUUUCAUUUCCUUUCCUUUCCUUAGUUAACUUGUAUCUUAUUUAUGUUCUUGUUUUGUUUAUUUAUGUUUCUCUUCUUCAUUAUGUUUAGCUAAGUUUAUUAUGUCAAGGUGAAAAGGUUACACUAAUGGUGUAAGAACAAGUAUGGUGUAAACUCAACAUGGACCUUAAUGUUUAAUAUUAACAUGUCUUAUCUUUUUAUCUUACUAAUUCUUAAUACCUUGCUUGUUAAAUGGUUAAUCUAGAUUUGUGUUGUAUAAUACUUGGUACAACAAAUGCUUGGCACUCUCAUAGCCCAACCGUAUGGUAUUACCUACACCUGGGCUAUGAAAGGAACUUGAUUUGUUGUUAACAUCAGUUAACAUCAUGAAUUCCUGACAAUAUUUAAAAGUUUGGUGUUAUGUAAAUAAGAUAAUUAAUAUGAUCAUGUUAAUAAUUUAUAAUGAGCUAUUAAUGACAAAUCAUCCGAUUGGAACCUCCUUCGUGUGUGGUUUCCAAAUUGAGUAAUAAGAGUUUAUACUAUACUUGUUUGAAAUACCAUUAGUGGAUCCUCUAACCUUGACAUUUGUUUUUAUCAUUGUUUAAUCCUUACAUUAAUCUUUCAUCUCAAAGUUCUCAUUAAUUUCUUCAUCUUCUUCUUUUAUUAUUAUUAUUAUUAUUAUUACUACUACUACUACUACUACUACUAUUAUUAUUAUUUACAUUAUGUUUAUAUUAUAUAAUAUAUCUUUUUGAUUUUUUCAUAAACUCAGUAUAUAGGCUAGAAACCUGUGACUCAAUCUUUUAGAUCAUUCUCAGGUAUAACAACGCCACGUACUGAGUAUUAUUAUUACUAUUACUAUUACUAUUAUUGUUGUUAUUGUUGUUAUUAUUGUUGUUAUUGUUGUUAUUAUUGUUGUUAUUGUUGUUAUUAUUGUUGUUAUUUUUGUUGUUGUCUUGUUAUUUAUAAUUUAUACAAUUAACCUCUCUGUGGUUCGACCCCGAUCUUUCCGGGUUAUUUAUUACUUCGACACUCCUGCACUUGGGAGAAGACAUCAAUCUUUUGGUCGUGUCACUAACCCUUUUGAUGCAGGUUCAGAUCGUCAAUUGAUCUCCUCUCCUCAUGGUCUUCGGGCACUUUCUAGUCCCUCCUCUGCUUCACCCUCCCUGGCCAACAAUCCUAUAGCUUCAGUCUCUACUUUCAGCCCCUCCUCUGCUGACAGUCAUGUGCUUGAGGCUGCUUCUUUAUCAUCCUCUCCCGCUGGUCUGCAACUUAUGGUUGAUUUGUCUUCUUAUCAGCUGCCACAGGUCUCAUCGCUACAACUGUCUUCCCCUGCAUCUCCAGCAACACACAACAGACAGAAGACAGAAGACAACUAAUCUGGUUGCUUCCACUACCGCUACUUCUACCUCCACACGGGUACUGUUUUCUCCCUCUUCUGAGCCUUUUGCAUUCUCUGAUGCUAACCAGUAUGCAGUUUGGCAUAAUGCUAUGUGUGAUGAGAUCGCCGCUUUACGCGAAAAUCGCAUUUGGUCUCUGGUUCCAUUUUAUCCUUCGAUGAAUGUUGUUAGCAGUAGAUGGGUAUAUCGGAUCAAACAUCAUGUUGAUGGUAGUAUUAAGCACUAUAAAACGCCCCUUGUUGCUAGAUGUUUUACCCAGCAGGAAGGUAUUGAUUAUUCUGAAACCUUCAGUCCAGUUAUUAAGCAGGCCACUAUCCGAUUGGUUUUCUCUAUCGCGGUUUCGUGAAAUUGGAAGAUUCAUCAGCUUGAUAUUCAUAAUGCCUUCCUCAAUGGUGUUCUUACUGAAGAGAUCUACAUGAAACAGCCUCCAGGUUUCGUUGACUCUUCUCUUCCAUCUCAUGUGUGCAGAUUGCACAAAUCAUUGUAUGGUUUGAAACAGGCACCGAGAGCAUGGUACACUCGUCUAAGUGAUUUUUUUCUCUCCAUCGGUUUCUGAGCUUCCAAGGUUGACACCUCCCUGUUUAUCUUAUCUGACGGUACUAAUAUCUUUUAUCUCCUGGUGUAUGUUGAUGAUAUUCUGCUCACAGGUAGUAACUCUGUUAUGCUCCACCACCUUAUACAGUUACUCAGCUCUGAGUUCAAGCUUCGUGACUUAGGUGUUAUUCACUACUUUUUGGGUAUUGAAGUUCAGUCUACCGGUAUAGGUUUAAUGUUGCGUCAAUAUAAAUAUAUUGUGGACAUCCUCACCCGAGCUGGUAUGACUUCUUGCAAACUAGUUGAUACUCCAGUCUCCCCUUCGAAAGUCAUUUUAUUACCGGAUCAUUCAUUCUCUGAUCCUACACAAUUUUGUCAAAUCGUGGGUGCUCUUCAAUAUCUUACCUUCACCCGUCCAGAUAUAUGCUUUGCUGUUAACAGAGUCUGUCAGUUUAUGCAUGCUCCUACAAAUUCUCAUUAGGCCGCUAUCAAACGUAUUUUACGCUAUCUUAAAGGUACGACAUCUUAUGGUUUCCAUAUCACUCGAGGCUCCUAUUUUGCUUUACAUGGCUUUACAGAUGCAGAUUGGGCUGGUAGUAUUGAUGAUCGCAAGUCUACGGGCGACUAUCUUGUCUUUUUUGGUCAGAUGUCGAUUUCUUAGAAAUCCAGUAAGCAACGCACUGUUGCUCGCUCCUCUACUGAGGCUGGGUAUAAAGCCCUUGCUAAUGGUACCGCUGAAGUCAUUUGGCUUCAAUACUUGUUAACAGAUUUGCAGGUUCCCUCAGUCUCUACCCCUACCAUUUGGUGUGAUAAUCUUGGUGCUACCUAUCUCUUAGCAAAUCCUAUCUUUCAUGCUCGUACUAAGCAUGUUGAAGUGGAUUAUCACUUUGUCCGUGACCGUGUUGCCAAGAAAGAAAUUCAUAUUCUUUUUGUUCCCUCUCGGGAUUAACUUGUCGAUGUCUUCACUAAACCGCUUCCUGUUGCAUCCUUUACUGCUUUUUGAUUCAAGCUUCGGGUUGAUCCCCCACUCUCAGUUUGAGGAGGCAUAUUAUAGAAUAGGAUUCUAAUAUAAGAUGUUGUAAUCAUUACAGUUACUCAUGUAUCUAUCAGAAUAGGAUUCUAAUAUAGGAUGUUGUAAUCAUUACAGUUACUGCAGUGUUCUGCUGCCUCUAUAUAAAUAGGAAGGUUGGCUAAGGCACAACCCAACACAUUCCAUUAUUCUCAACUAUAGUAAAACAUAAAUGGGAAAACAAUAAAUGGAAAAAAAAACUUAUUUGUUUUAGUUUCUUCUGUAAUUAUAAUAUAAUAUCUUUUGAUAUAUAAAUUAGGCUAAAAAAAACAAACUUGAAGGGUUUGAAAGCUCAAGGCUCAUCGUAGGAUGGUUUUGAAUCAAUAUUUUGGCUUCUUGGCUAGAAUUUACUCGUAACCCAAUCUUUGGAUAUUCAACUAGUCAUGUACCCGUGUUACUCACCCAACUUGCAAACCAAGAAUUGAUUUAAAUCAACUUUGAGGGAUGUAACUCAAUUUGUCAGGCUCUAGAUUUGCUCCCUAGAGGUCAUUAGUUCGAGUCUCACAAAACCUCGGAGCAACUGGAGGUUUACAUGGUCGUUAACUUUAAGAUCCAUGAGACUAGUUGAGAUACACGCAAGCUGACCCGGACAUUCAUAUUAAUAAUAAUAAUAAUAAAAUUGAUUUAGAUCAUGAAUGAAGCUGGACCGAAAUAGAUUUAAUAAUUUUGAUUAUUACUCUUAUUAUUUUACAAAUUGACCUACUUUGGACAUGCAAGUUGAUCAAAAACUUAAAAUUUAUACUAGCCUCUUGUUCUAUUCACAUUAACAUAUGGACAUCAACUUGAAGCCUUUUGAUUUUCACUUUUUAUCUUGCAUUUUAACUAAGCCUACUUUAACUUUAAUGGGAUUGACCUGGUUGUUAAAAAAGUAAACUCUCUUUAUUGAUUUCUUAGAUUCAAAUUUAGGGACGACACCUAUGAAAAAUUAUUAAAUUUCUUUGAAUGUACUAGGUUUAUGUGGAAGUGUCUUUAAAAUUAUCUAGAAAAAAGAACUUGGUCUUGAUCAACAUGUAAAUUGGUCCAAGGAUACUCCUUUAUAUUGCAUUUUAACUAAGUCUACAUUUAACUCCAAAGGAUUGGCUUGGUGAUCAAGAAGGUAUACUCAAUUUCUUGAGUUCAAAACACGCAUGGAGUUUUACUAAAUUCUUUUGAAAGCACUAAGUUGAUAUGAGGUGUGCUCUUAAUAUCCUUCCAAAAGAAAAUUUAGUCUCGGUGGACACAUAAGCUGAUUCAAGAAUACUUUUAUCAUUAAAAAAGAAAAGGUUAAGUCCAGUUCACCUUUAUUUUUUUAUAUAUAAUCUAUUGCAUUAUUUUGAUCCUCAUUAACAUAUUCAUAUAUCAAUGAAUACUGAAAUGUCAAGAUUUAUUUUAUUUUAAUCAUUAAAUUUUAAAAUAUUUUGGGACUUUUUAUUUUCUAUUUAUUUUAAAUUUCAUCCUCAAACUAGGUAUUAGACUUUAUAAUUUGUAUUGCUACUAUGAAAUACCAAGGCCCUUUUCACUUUGGUUCUCAAAAGUUUUUAGAAGGUUUUAAUUUUUUUUCAAUUUUAUUUUUCAAUAUUGAGUUUAUUGGGUAUUGAGCUUCAUAAUUUAUUUUGAUUUGCUUUAUAUAGUCUUAUCUCAAUUUCAUGACAUAAGUCAUGAGUUUUGCAGGUUAGUUGUGUUGAAUUGAAUCAUUAUUUUUGUUCUUUCUUAAUUAAUUUCUUUUCUCAACUCCUUCCUUCAACAUUGAGUUGAUUGAGAAUCAGGAUUUAUAUUUUUCUUAAUUGUUUUUUUAUGGAAUUAUCAUAAUAUCAUGACUCGGUCGCGAGUUUGACAGACUUGGGUUUUUUGUUCUUUUUUUAAUUGAUUUUUUUUCAAUCUCAUUCUUUAACAUUGAGUUGAUUGCGAAUUGGAGUUUAUAUUUUUUUUUUCAUUAUAUGGAUUUAUCUCAUUAUGUUGAUUUGAGAUUAGCAUGUUAACUCAAAUUGACUUGAGCCAUUUUUUUUUUUUCUAUUUGUUUUUUUGCAAUUUAAUUCUCAACAUUGGAUUGAUUGAGAAUUUGAUCUUAUUUUUUUAUUUGCUCUCUAUAGGUUAUCAUGAUCUUAUGACUCGGGUUGUGGGUUACACUAGUUGACUUGGGUUUAUUUUUCUUUUUUGUUGAUUUUUUUUUUAAAUUUUAACCUUUAAUAUUAAGUUGUUUGAGAAUUAAGCUUCAUAAUUUAUUUUUGUUUGCAUUUUAUGACCCGAUUCACAAGUUUAGUUAGUUGACUCAAGUGAUUUUUUGUGUACUCUUUUUAUUUAUUUUUUUAAUUUUAUCCUUUAACAUUAGGUUGAUUGAGAAUUGAGUUUCAUAAUUUGUUUUGAUUUAUUUUUUUAUGGGAUUAACCUGGUCUCAUGACCCAGGUUUGACAUGUUAACCCGGGUUGACUUGACUUAUUUUUUUAGUUGAAUUUUAUUUUCAAAUUUAACCUUCAACAUUAGGUUGAUUGAGAAUUGAAUUUAAUAAUAUAUAUAUAUAUAUAUAUAUUAAUUUUCUUUCUAUAGUGUUAUUGGGAUCUCCUGACUUAGGUAAUGGAUUUGAUAAAUUAACCUUAUUCGAUCUAAUAUAUUAUCAUUUGAACAUUUAAAACUGAUGUUGUCUCGAUUUUUUUUAUAGUCAAACUAUAUUUUUAUUGGUCGUCUGGGUUCUCUUUUGACUUGUCAAGUUGACAAAGUCAUAUUAGGUCAAUCCAUAUAUAGUUAAAAAAAACAUCCUGCUAAAAAAUACAUUAACAAUACCUAAAUAUUUUUCUUAUGUCAAAACAAACUUGAUCCAACCCACAAUGUAGCGUGGGAAAUGAUAUAGCACACCCUAAUUUUCCUCCUAAAUUUUCUUAAUUAAAGCUUAUUUUUGUUGUUUGACAUUACAUUUUAAAUUGGGUCUGCGUGCGUUUCAAAAGUGUGUUUGGCAUGAAAAAGCAUCAAAUUAAUUUUUUUAGUGUAUUUUUAUUGAUUUUUAUAUGUUAAUAUCAAAAAUAAAAAAAACUAAAAAAAUUAUUUUGAUAUAUUUUUUAAUAUAAAAUAUUUUUAAAAAGUAUUUUACACUACAAUACUAAAUAUAUUAAUAAAAGAUUUUGAAUUACUAAGUGACAACCACUUUGUAAAGGGAUUGCAACCAGAAAAAGUUGAUUUUUUUCUAAACUCUUUUUUGUCUUUUUGCAACUUAUAGCAACAAAAAAAUCGAUUGCAAGUAAAUGCAUUCGGUUGCUAAUGGAAUUGCAUUUUGAAACAGAAAUUUCAUUAGCUAAAUUAAAUUGCCCGCCAGGAACACUUGUUAUUGGACCUCUGCUACCUUCGAUUCGUGGACAACAUUGAGGUAAGAUGUGGUUUCUUGCUUUCAUUUAAGCCAUGUUAUGAUGGGUUUUUUUUUUUUACCCUAUAAAUGUUGUUUGAUUUAAUUUUUAGCUGCCCCUCUUUGUUGACAGUAUUAAUUCUAAUGUCAACUAGUCAAGAAUUCCAAAUCCUUUUCUCUUCCUCACCAACAUGUGACCCUCUCCUCUCUUAAUUCUUGUUGUAAAGGUAUUUAGAUUCUCACUCCUCACUCUCUUGUCUAAUCCUUUAGUUUUUCUUACUGAAUUGCCCCAAAUUUUCUUUUCUAUUCUUCUCUCUUCUCAGUCUGGAUGUUUUUAUGAGAAGAAAUAAAAAUUUGGUUUUCCCUCUUAUUUAUUUACAAUUAAUCAAUCUACCAUUUGGGGUUUUAAAAUGAACUAUUUUAGCCAUGUUGCAAAUUAUGGUAUUACGGGGAUUGUCUUCCCGGAUCAAGAUCUUUUUAGUAAUGGGGGAAGAAUAAAAUUUUUUUGUUUUUUAUCAAUAAAAAAGAGAUAGAGUUGCUACAUAUUAUUUUGAUCAUUAUAAAUUCUAAUUAGUCUUUGAGUCUUAACAAGAGGACUGCUUGUGUAUUUGUAUCAUAUAAAUUGAGGUAUUUUUAUGUUUUUUAACUAUUAAUCUGUCUAAGGUUUAAGAAAAAUCUUUCUCGGUAAGGAGAUCUUUAUCUUAUCAGGUUAAAGCUUAACCAUUUUAGAGUUAAAAUGUAUUUUUGUUCUUUUUUAAUACUGGAAAUACAUCUUAUACAUAAGUUUAUAAUCCUUUAUAUUGGGAUACAAAAAUAAUGUUUUUGGUAUUUCUUUUAAAUAUAGACCAAAUUCUCAUUAAUUUAAUAGUCUGGUUACUAAAUCUAAAAAUUCAUGUAAAAAUAAAAGGACUAUUUUUGUGAUUUUUUUAAUAUGUAAAUAUACUUUAGUUUUGAGAGACUUAUGCAUAUGUAAUAAAAAAAUUUAAAUGAUUUUUUAAAAGAAAAAUUUUGUUGUUUUUGCAAAAAAAAAAAAACUUAUUUAUUUAAUACUAAUUGUGUGGAGGUCGUCAUUCUAAAUAUCAAAUAUGAGAGGGUAACAAAAGAUGAGAAACUCAAAAUUAAUUACAAAAUGAUCUUUUAAAACUUUGAAAAUAUAUUAAAAUUAGACUAAGGCCAUGUUUGGAAACACACUACAAAAAGUAGAAAUGCAAAGUUUAAAAUUUUUUUUAGGGCGUGUUUGCCAAACAAGCCCUAUGGACCCAAAAAUUGCAUUUCGCUUUGAUAAAAUUUUUGUCAAGCCAAACAUGGCCUUAAAACCUUUCAUAGGCUUAGCCCAGCCACGCUAGUUGGGCUCUCUAGCUGAAACUAAAACCAACAUAUCGAGUCCAAAACUUAUGCUAAGAUCUAAGUACAAACAAAGCAUUCAUUAGCCCAUAUCACACACAUAAAAACCCAAAUAAAAUUUAGAGACUCUAAGAGGCUGUUUGUCUUUGCGGUAGCUGCUGUGUUUUUAUUCAAACACAAAUAAUAUGGUGUUUAGUUAAUAUAUAAAGCUACGGUUUGGUUCAUGGGACCCACUAAAAAUAAGGUUUAACCUCAGGUUUUGGCAAAGCAAUUUUUUCAUGCUUUUCAUCCAUCGUUUUGUAUUUUUACGUUUCACUCUCCACUCCACUGUUCACUUUUGCAAAGUAAACAGUGGAGAACAUAUCCACUGUCAUUCCAAGCCCUUCCAAAACUCACGGCAAGCAACUCCUCACCACCAACAACACAAAAGGCUCCCAUCCUCCAGCCGACAGCCAACAACUCCUUCCCUCUUCACCGUGGUCAGCAACAACAGUCACUAUGUUUAGAAAAAUGUUUUUAAAAUAUAAUAUUUAAAAUUUUUGUAUUUUAAAAGCGUGAUAUUAUAUUAUGUUUUUUUUUAAUAAUAAUGAUAUUUAUUAUAUUUUAUGUUUAUAAAUAUAACAUAAAAUAUGCUAAUUAAUUAGCAUGAAUAGUGUAGAUUGGCUACACUGUUCACGUGAAUAGUGUAGUCAACUAUACUGUUCCGGUCGGAUCGGUUCUGGCCAGACCGGUUCAGGUUCAAAGGUUAAAAUGCAUUGAACCAGGUUCGACCCAAUAAAAUAAAAAUUAUUUUUUAUUUUUUAAUUGUGUUUUAUUCAAAAAAAAAUCAAUGUUUAACAUUAUUCAAUGGCACUACAUAAAUUAGACAGAGAUCGCUUGAUGAUGUAGCAUUUGCAGAAUUUGAUCGUAAUUCCAAUUUUGUUCCUGAUUAUAUUUUACCUGAUGUUAUUGCGCGCUUAAGAAACCAAAAAAACUAUAGUCCUUGUCGGAUAUAUUUCAUACAUUAUGGAAUUGUAGAUAUUUUAAUGGAACAAUAAAAAAAUAUUUUAUAUAAAGUAUUAUUUAUUUCAUGAUGUAAUAGCAAUAGUUAAAUCUACAAUAUUUAAAUUAAAAACCAUCAAUAUAUAUAUAUAUAUAUACACACACACACAAUUAUUUUAUAACCUCGAUUUCAAAAGCAUUCUUAACCAAACACAUUAAACUAUUUUUUGUUCAACCUCAAUUUCAACCACAGUUUUAACCAAACACCUAUUUUUUCAAAACAACCCCAACAAAAAGUAUUUUUUUAUAAAACAACUUUUUUCAAACCACAACCACAACAGCUACCGCAAUACCAAACACACUCUAAAUUAAAUGCCAGCCCAAUUAUUCAUGUCUAUCAAUAGAAAAAAAAAAACGAAAUGGGCUCAGUGAAUGACUUGGCCCAAAACAAAAAUUAUAAUAAAAAGAAGGGCCCAUGGUGUUAUAACCCAAGAGAGAUUUAAGGCCCGAUGAAAAACAAAAGCUAACAUGAAAUUUUGUUCUUGAAAAUUUAAAGUAAUUAAAAAAUAAGAGCCCAGCCCAGAACUCACUAUAAGACUUCAAAACACCAGUCAUAUUACAUAGCUAGCGAACGUUGUACCUUCCAUGAAGAUCGAAGGAAAGCUAAGACUGCUGAAGGAAUAAUGUGCUACUGUGGUUCACGAUCUUGAUGGUCUGAGAGGAGUAACCUCUGCUGCUGCUGCUCAAAUAAAGCUGAUGGCGUGAUGAGGAGAACAAACCUCUGCUGACGGUGGAGUUGCUGAGAGAGAUAUAUGACGGUCACAGCCUGAGGAGCACAACCUCUGCUAGCGAGACUGACGAGAGGUAGCUGGUCUUGGAAUUUAUGCUACUCAUGGUGAAGGAUUUCGUUGCUGCUCAGGAGGAGACUUCGCUGGGAUUGGACUGCUUGGGUUAGGGUUUUGUGAGAUUUUAAUGGGAGAGAUGAGGAGGUUCUAGGGCUCUUGGGUUGACGAGAACUCGACCCUUGAUAUUAAGAUCCCAGCCAUUUAUUAAAGUUUAAGACAAAAGCUUGUCCUAAAACUGAAAGGGAGGACACAAGAUUAUUUUUGUAAGAAAAACAGUUCCGGGUAGUGUUUUUAGGAAAGAAUUUGUAGAUGUUUUUAAUGCAAUAAAAAGUGGAACUUUGGUUUAGAGUGAAUUAAAAAUACCAUAUAAGUUGAUAUAAGAUUUGUAUGGUAUAUAAAAAGAUGAGGGAGCAAUUAGAACUAAAAGCGAGCACUUAAGCAUAUUUGUUCUUUUGUUUUAGGGGAAGAAAACAAUAAAUAAUAAAAUUAUGGUUUUUUUCAAUUUGGUCCUUGAACCCUUGACACGUUGCAAUGGAGUGCCCAAUCAGCCAUAAUCUUUUGUAUUUCUUGCAAUUUCAUCCUUAUUUUUUUUCAAUUCGACCCUCAAUUUUUAGCGUGUUUUACAAAGUAGUUAUUGGUUUUAGAUUUCUUAAAUCUGGUUCUCAAUUGAACUUCAUACAUAAAAUUUAUUUCAAUUUAGCCUCAUCAUUACACCAAUUUAGCAUUUCAAAGUUUUAAUUGUGUCUCUAAUCUUUUAAUCUUUGUGAAUUGAUCUGAAUUAGGCCUCCAAACUUAAUUUUUUAAUUGAGUCCUUGAUUGAAUCCACAAAACCCAUUAAAAAUUUAAUUAAGUCAUUGAACUUAAUUAACUUUUUUAAUUUUUAUCCAAUUAACUUUCAAACUUAAUUUUUCUUCAAUUAAAUCCUUAAAUAAGUCAAUUAAACUUGUUAAAAGUUUACUUAAUUCCUUAGACUUAAUUAAUUCUUCCAAUUUUAAUCAAGUUUGGAUUUCAACCUUAAUUUCUUUUCCUUUUAUCUUGUCAAAACAUUCUAAUCUAACUAUUCUUAUGGUAUUUUGGUUUUUUGCAAUUUGAAAGCUUAUAUUCUUGUAUCUCACAAAUAUUUUUGGAUUUUAUAUUUUUUUUUUUGGAUUUUUAAUUAAAAUAAAAAUUUAUAAAACAAAUUUGGAGGACAAAAAAUUGAGUUAUAUAGUAAGUGAGAAAAGAAAGUGGAGAGAGAUGGGUGAUAUGGUCGUUGAUCUAUGGCUAGAGAGAGAUGGGUGAUGUAUUGCUUAUGUGGGUGUUUCUUGUGCCGCGAGGAGAGAGAGGAAGGCAGAUGUGAUAAGAGGCAAAAAGUUGCAUGAUUUCGACGCUACCUUUUUUGAUCAACAACCUGAUUAAAUUCAAAGGUAGAUGUGAUCUGUAAACUCACCACGUGGAUUUGUGUAAUCUAAGCUAUUUUAGACUUUCUCGGUUACAACCAAGGUAGUGUCUCAAAACACUAUUGAAAUUAUAUUUUAAAAAAAAAUUAAUUUUUUAUUUGAUUAAAAUCUAAUAUGAUUUAUACUUUUUGAAUCAUUUUGAUAUGUUGUUAUAAAAAAUAAUUUUUUAAAAUAUAAAAAAAUAUUAUUAACAUAUAUUUCAGCACAAAAAAUUAUUUAAAAAAUAAUCAUUACCACACUACGAAACAGGUUUUAAUACUUUAAAUGUUAGUCCUCUUUUAUCUUUUUAGCUCAAACCUUUUUGUGCUCAGGUUGUCAAAUUCUACACCGAAACAAUAUCAUGCAAGACUUUUAAGCCAUGCCUUCAUAAUUUGGGGAAAGAAAAACUUCCAUCUUCCGUUUUCUUCAUACCUUUUUGUGCUCAGGUUGUCAAAUUCUACACCGAAACAAUAUCAUGCAAGACUUUUAAGCCAUGCCUUCAUAAUUUGGGGAAAGAAAAACUUCCAUCUUCCGUUUUCUUCAUACCUUUUUGUGCUCAGGUUGUCAAAUUCUACACCGAAACAAUAUCAUGCAAGACUUUUAAGCCAUGCCUUCAUAAUUUGGGGAAAGAAAAACUUCCAUCUUCCGUUUUCUUCAUAAUUUGGGGAAAGAAAAAAUUUAAAUGUUAGUCCUCUUUUAUCUUUUUAGCUCAAACCUUUUUGUGCUCAGGUUGUCAAAUUCUACACCGAAACAAUAUCAUGCAAGACUUUUAAGCCAUGCCUUCAUAAUUUGGGGAAACAAAAACUUCCAUCUUCCGUUUUCUUCAUAAUUUGGGGAAAGAAAAAAUUUAAAUGUUAGUCCUCUUUUAUCUUUUUAGCUCAAACCUUUUUGUGCUCAGGUUGUCAAAUUCUACACCGAAACAAUAUCAUGCAAGACUUUUAAGCCAUGCCUUCAUAAUUUGGGGAAAGAAAAACUUCCAUCUUCCGUUUUCUUCAUAAUUUGGGGAAAGAAAAACUUCACAAUUUUUUUUUGCCUCCACAUUUGCAUCAACAUGAAGCAUUCUUGCUUGAAUUCCAAGAUGGCUUUGUUUUAUCAUUUCCAUGGAAUUCUCCUUUUAUGCAUGAGCUUCAGCUCGGAAUCUGCUACAGCAGCUACUUUUUCAAAUGUGUCCGAUCGACUUGCUUUACUCGACUUCAGGAGACUGAUAACUCAAGAUCCACACAAAAUCAUGAGUUCAUGGAAUGAUUCAAUCCAUUUCUGCAAUUGGAUUGGUGUUUCAUGCAGUUCAUCUAAUGGAAGAGCUGUAACUUUGAAACUGGCGUCUCAGAGUUUGGUUGGCUCUAUACCGCCUUCUGUAGGAAAUCUUACAUAUCUGACAGGCAUCAACCUGCGAAACAACAGCUUCCAUGGUGAACUUCCUGAAGAGCUGGGUCGUCUAUCGCGCUUGCAGCAUAUCAACGUCUCCUUCAAUUCCUUUGGUGGGAAGAUUCCCGCUAAUCUCACUUACUGCACAGAACUUACUGUAUUUAGUGCUGCUUUCAACAAGCUUACCGGGGAGAUUCCAGACCAGCUUAGUUCAUUGACAAAGUUGGUCAUCCUGUAUUUUGGAGAUAAUCAAUUUACAGGAAGCAUCCCAUCUUGGAUAGGGAACUUUUCUUCUCUCUUUGCUCUGUCACUUCCACAGAAUAAUCUGCGAGGAAGCAUACCAAAUGAACUUGGCCAGCUAACUGGAUUGGGUUAUUUUCAAGUUUAUGGCAAUUAUUUGUCUGGUACGAUUCCAACUUCAAUUUUUAAUAUUUCUUCUAUAUACUUCUUCUCUGUUGUUGAAAACCAGCUGCACGGGCAGUUACCGCCCAAUGUAGGUGUG